rnacentral:lncRNA from 1 species
UCUAGUUGAAGAGUUCUGCACACCAAAAAGUUAGUGUUGGUCAAAUUGUCUAUGGUAUUUGAAAAGCAUGUUAAUCUGAAGCAAAACAAGUUACUAGUUAAAUUAUCUACAUAAACUUUUGUUAUAGUUUAGGGUUUAGGAUAUAAACUUUUGUUAUAGUUUAGGGUUUAGGAUUUAAUUCAUUUUAUCAGUAUAUUUUUUUAUAUUUUCAUAAUUUAUACCCACUUGCUGCUUAUUAUUAUUAAGUAUUAAAAAGUGAAUUUUAAGUCUAAUUCAAUUUCAUAACUUGAUAAGUCUAACAAAUUAUCAUUAAGAUAAAUUCAAAAUGGUUCUGCUACCGUAUUACGGAACAAUCUUUAAGCUUAACUCAAUAUCAUAAAACUGGUUUAUAAAGUAAAGUUUGCAUUUAUAUAAUACAAAAAAAUUUAUAUAAUACGAAAUGUUCAAAUCUUUACUCGAUAUCAAACAUGCAGUUUUUUAAAAAUGGACAUAAAUUGAGUUGAAUGACCUGAGUGAUUUGCGCAAGGCUGAAACAACAAGAUGAGGAUGAUUGUCAGUGACCCAAAGUUUGGAAGUGACAAAGAGAUCUUGACGAGAGACAAGGCCAAGGUCUACUGCUUCUUUGAGAGCUUCUCCAAGAGCUUGCUCAGAGCCAUAAGCAGCAGCAGUGUCAAAGUGUCUGUAACCCUGCUUUAUGGCCUCAAUGAUUGCCUCUUUUGUGUCUUUCUUACAAGUGAAAUCUGGUGCAGACCCCAUUCCAACCACUGGCACCCUCUGCUGGGAAGAGGAAUUUGGCAGCACCACUGUGGGGAUUUCAACAGCAACCAUUGUAGCAAGUGCUAAUUUACUAGUAUAGUUUUUUGUAGUUUUAGUGUAAUGUAACACUACUUGUUGCAGUUGAUGGAACUACUGGGGUGGUGGUCUCCCUUUUAUACAACAAAAUUGGUGUCUUCAUCUGCUUCUAUUGUCUUUGAAUUCCACCUUUGAAAUGUCUGCAAUUUGAGGUUAGGUGAGUUAAGGUGAGAUCUACCUCCAUUCAUUUCAUUCUUAUUUUAUUCAACAGUAGUUGACUUGUGUUCUAUACCAUUUUGGAUCAAUGUCUGUCUAUUGUCAUCAUCAAUUUGAAUAUGAUGAAAUAAUAAUAUUCAAUUGCAUUAAAACAAAAGUUAUCUUCAACUACACAAUAAUUUUCCAUGGUAUCUUAAUCAUGAACCCUUUUAAUUAUAAAUAACUGCAGAGGGUCCUGUUAUUGUGUAUUUUUUUCAUCUUUUGCAUGAAACUGAUCAAUGAUUGAGAACUUGUCUAAAAAAAUUGGAGGAAAUCUUGUAUCCACGAUCUUGGUGGUUGAAACUCCACCUAAAACAUAAUUUAUAAACUUCGAUAUGCCAUUAUGUGUAUAGUGAUCUGUAACAUUCAUUUGUUAUUUUAUCUAAUGUAAGAGACCGACAAAGAUAUACACCACAAACAUGUUACUGAUGAAUAUGUUGAGUAAUUGAAAGAUGGUGAAAAUAUUGUUUAGAUAUUUAAAAUGUCUAUAUACUAAUAUAUUUCUCGAUUAAUUACGGAUCAUCAUGCCCAACUAAAAUCCGAUUCAUUAUAGUAAAGAUUUAUAGUCUAACACUGUAAAUAAAUCUUAUAAAAAAAGUAAAGUACGUUUUAAUCAAUUAUCAAUAUUUAUUCUUUACCUAGGAUAUUUAUUUGAUUGUCGGAUACUUAUUUGAUUGUCGAAGUGUUUUUUUCAUAUGCACUUUGAUUGAAUAUCGAUAAAAAAAACUUAAAAAGGAAGAAAAAAAAAUCACCGACAUGUUAACAAUAAGGUGAGUUUGAGUCUCAGGUACUAUUUUAGGUACAAUUUUACAUUUGCUUGUUUUGGAAAAAGUAUUGUGAAUGCAGAAAAGUAAGCUUUUACAUGAUUCUUUGAAUCUGUCUCAGCAAGUUCAGUUCAUGAUUCAUCUUUUUUUAUGAGUUCAUUACGUGUUAUCAAAGCAUGAUGAAUCAUACAACAUUACAACUUUGGUGGCACUCAUGUGUUAAAUGCGUAAAAGAUCAAAUAUAGGAUCAAAUGAAUAUUACAUCACACACUAAAAAAAAAAAUCAUUAAGUAAAAAUUAAUAUUAAAAAAAAAUAUUUUAAUUUUUAAAUUAAUUUCUAUUAUUAUUAAAUAGUUUCUAAAUUGGUAUCUAGCUACCAAAAAUUUUGCUACCAGAUUUAGAAUCUAAAGUAAUUGGUAGUUAAAACUUUAGUAACUAAUUAACAAUUUAGAAACUAUCUAACUCAGAAAUUAAUUUAGAAACUAAAAAAGAAAAUCUCAAUCUCUACUAAUUAUUUUUUUUCUCUAAAAUUUGUUUCUAUUUCAUAAUUUUCUGGUACUACAUCUCUAAUUAUUAUUUUUUAAUAUUUAUAUAUUUAAACAGUAAAAUAUAAAUAUUAUGUCAUUUUAAAGAAUUUACUCUCUCUAACAAUGACACGUGCAUUUUAAACAGUAAUUGCUGAAAUUUCCACACAUUUAUAGAGCAGAUGGAAAAAAUUGGAUUGUAGCAUUUAUUCAAAUACAUUUUUGAUUUAGUGAGUGAACCUGUUGAAGAAGAAAUUUGGAGUCAACAUUUGCCAGUCAAAGUGAUGCACAUGCUUUAGAAUUUCUUUUACCACUUAUGACAACGAUUUUUGGAACUAUUUCUUAUAUAUUUUUAUUUUCUUUUGUUUUAAAAAAAAUUAUCACCUUUAAAUACGAAGAUGGUUAUUGAACUUGCAUUUAAUUUAAUAUAGCAAUAAUUUUCAUCGUAUGUGUAUUUGUUUUUAAUUCUUGUUCUGUUUCGUUAAUAUCUUCAACAUAUUUAAUUUAAUAUCAUAGACUACGAGACUUAGACACUUCUUUUAAAUGACGUAUCCAUGUCAGACACAUGUAUCGGUGUCGACACUCGUACUCAUAGGAUACUCAUCGGUGAAGUGUUCAAUUCAAAAAAUAUUUGUUGAAUUUUUGAAAAUUCUAGCACGGUUCUAACACAAUUUUAAAAUGUAUAAAUACAAUAAUUUUCUAAAAACUCAAAUUUAUUUUAUAAAUUUUUAUUAUGAUUAUAAAAAUAAGAAACAAAUUCUUUUGAACCAGUCAUGAAAAAUAUCUUCCUACUGUUGUCAAAAGAAUCUAAAACAUACUUUUGCACAUAAAUAUUUAUUUUGAAUUUAUAUAAUUCAAAAUUAUAUGAUAUAUAGAUUUGUAUCCCUAUAUCCUUCAUUUUAGAUAUUAUAUGUAUCUCUGUGUCUGUAUUCGUAUCGUAUCAGUAUCUGUGCUAAACAGAUGAGAGAUAUAAUUAUUUACAAAUUAUCAUAUUUCAGAUCACAUUAAAAGUAUAAAAGAAUUCUGAAUAUGUAUAAAUUAUUAAAAGUAUAAAUAAAGUGUUAAAGCAAAACACUGUAAAAGUUAUAUCACAUCUAUAAAAGCUAAAGCAUUGGUGUAUUAAUAUAUUAUAUUAUAUUAGUUUAUCACAACUUUUAUCAGAUUAAACUCAAGUAAUAGCAGUUAUUUAUUAUAUUUUAUAAUAGUCACACGUUUGUUUUAUUUUUUAUUGUUAUUUAUAAUUAUAAUUUUUAUUAAUUAUUAUAAUUAAUUAAUAAUUAUAUUUUUUAACAUAAAUUUAUUUAACGUUUAGUUUUAUUUAUUAAAUAUUAUUUUUUCAUAUUAUAUUAUAUUUAAUUAUGUAAAUUUAUUUUAAAUAAUAAUAAUUUGAGUUUAAAAUAUAAAUUAUGAGUAAUUAAUUAUAUAAAUUAUAGAUAUUUUUUAUUUUUCAUAUUUUAUUGUCUUGAUUUUCGUGUUUUUUUUUUAGGAGUUUCUUUUUCCUAUAGCUAUUCAAGAUUUUUGUUAAGAAUUCAAUGUUCAUGGGGCCUCAAAAGUUGACUAAGUUCUUGAAAAUUGUUCGGUCAUAUGAUAAGGUUGAUAAUGUUCAUAUUCAUCAUUAUUAUUAAUCAUUUUAGAUUAAUAAAAAAUAAUUUUUUAUUAGUUUUUAACUUAUUUAGUUCUCUUUUUUUAAAAGUAAUUGAAUAUUGAUUAAUUUUAUGUAAUUAUACCACUAAUUUCUAUUCUUUUUGUCUAACAAAAACAUAUUAAUUCUUCAUUUGGUAAAUUCAAAGAAAAAAAAAUUGUUAUCAAACACAAGUUAUUAUUAGUCAAAUGUUAAUAACUCUUUCUGCUGGUCAAGCUUUACUGUGUUAUGUCUCGAUAAGUUUUAAAAGUUUUUGCAUCAUUAAAUAAAAUAUUAUAAUAACAACUCCAUCACAUAGAAUAAAUUCAUUUUAUUUUUAAUAUAUUCGAAGAUAAGAAUUCGAGUUUAUUAUUUUAUUAUAUAUUUAUGAUAAAAAAUUCAAUAAUAAUAAAAAGAUCUCAAUCAAAGUAUUAUAAUGUCAUCACUCAUAGUAACUCUAUAUAUUUUUUAUAUAAUCUCUAACUUUAGCAUAAAAAAAAUAUUUUGUAGAUGAACUUUCGGUUCGAUAUUUAAAUAAAUUCAAAGUUAAUCUUCUCUGAGCACACAGCUCCAUACAAAAAUUUCAGCUUUUCAAUAGUUUUUUCAAAAACACGUUGUUUUAUGACAAAGACAUAUAAAGGUUAUUAUAAAAUGAUUUUUAAAUUUAUAUUUAAAUUAAUUAUUUAAGUUUUAGUGAUUAAUAUUUUAAAUUUUAAAUUAAUUUUUAAAAAAUUAAUAAGAACUAAUUUAAAAUAUAAAAUAUUAAGUAGUUAAAACUUUAGUAGAUAAUGAUUAAAUAUUAAUAUAAAAAUUAUUUUAUAAAAUAUUUUUAUUAAUAGUAAAAAGUACUUUAAAUAUCAAUAAUUUUUUAAUUUAUAAAAUAUUUUUAAUUUAAUCAAAUAAUACUUAAUUAUUUUAAUAUUUAAAAUUAAUUUUUAUUUAAUAAUUUUCUUGUAAUAUACCUACUAUCUAUUUAUUUAUUUAUUAUUUACUUUCCUAAACCAAUGAAACAAUUACUUAUGAGUCAACCAUUAUUUUACUCGUCACUGUUUACAAGGUGAUAUUUGUAGGGACGUGAAUGGUUGAAAAGUAAUAAUAUAAUAUUAAUUUAGUAAUAAUUUAUUUAUAAUAGGCUUUACCACUUACCCAUAUAUUGUAUUUUACUCUCAUAAACCUAUUAACCUUCAAAACUUAAUUUUUUAUACUAUAAAUCUCAAUAUUAUUAUUUUAAUUCUUUUAUAUUAUUUAAUUCUAAAUUUAUUUUUUAUUAUUUAUUUAUUUUUAAAUCCAUCACAACAUUUUUUUCAAAUGUAUAAUUGUAUUUUAGUAGAAUGAGAAUACAUUUGAGAAAAAGAAAAACAUAUUAUGUAGAAAUGAGUCCAUAUAUAGUUUCAUUUCUUCAGAAAACAAAAUGACAAAAGUUCAUUCAAAGUUCAAAAGCAACAUGAAGUUUAAAUUCCAAUCGAAGACAAAUUCAACGUCUGAGAGUUGUAGUUUAUAUUUCAUCAUCCCAAAGAUCAUUGAGUUGGGGUUUUGUGGGUCCAUUGAUCAAACGAUUCUGAUAUAUUUCACUUAUUUUCUCAUGAUCUUUCUCUGUCAAUGUCCAGUUAAAUAUCUGCAGAUUUUGAUUCAUCCUUCCCUUAUCGUAGCUCUUAGGCACGAAAGUCACUCCUUCUUCAUACAACCAUCUCAGACAAAUUUGAGCUAUGGACUUUCCAUGAGCAUCUGCAAUCUCUUUCAGAACAUCAUUCUCCAUCACUUCAUUUGGACCCUUGCUUGCACCUUUCCUCAGAGGAGAGAAUGCAGUUAUCACUAUCCCAUUUGCACUGCAGAACUCUCUCAGCUUCUUCUGUUGCCAUGCAAGAUUCAUCUCCACCUGAAAUAGUUGUUGAAUUACAAAUAAACAUUAAUUCAUCUUAUCAAGAACCAUUUCACAUAAACAAAAACAACACAAACAAGAUUAUUACUUGAUUCACCACAGGACGGAUGGUAGCAACAGACAACAAUUUCUCAAGUUUCUUCACAGAAAAGUUGCUCACACCAAUGGCUCGUGUGAGACCAAGUUUUUGGCACUCUUCCAUGGCUUCCCACACACCCUUCACAUCAAAAGGCAAGAGAUCUUCAACCUCAAUUGGAAAUGAGAAUUUCCCCGGCUGAGAACUGAUGGGCCAGUGAAUGAGAUAGAGAUCAAGAUACUCUAGUUGAAGAGUUCUGCAAACCAAAAAGUUAGUGUUGGUAAAGUUAUUUGAAAAGCAUGUUAAUCUGAAGCAAAACAAGUUACUAGUUGAAUUACGUAUAUAAACUUUUGUUAUAAUUACAUAAGAGCUUUUAUAUAAUGUUUGUUAUAAAAUAUUAAGAAAUAAACUUUUAAGUGUAACUUAAUAACCUGAUAAACCUAAUAAAUCAUUAUUAAAAUAGAUUUGAAAUGAUUCUGAUAACCUAUUAAAAAAUGUAUUUAAGUCUAAUUCAACUUUAUAAAACCGGUUUAUAAGAUGAGGUUCGCAUACCUAAGUGAUUUGCACAAGGCUGAAACAACAAGAUGAGGGUGAUUAUCAGUGACCCAAAGUUUGGAAGUGACAAAGAGAUCUUGACGAGAGACAAGACCAAGUUGAACUGCUUCUUUGAGGGCUUCUCCAAGAGCUUGCUCAGAGCCAUAAGCAGCAGCAGUGUCAAAGUGUCUGUAGCCCUGCUUUAUGGCCUCAAUGAUGGCAUCUUUUGUGUCUUUCUUACAAGUGAAAUCUGGUGCAGACCCCAUUCCAACCACAGGCACCCUCUGCUGGGAAGAGGAAUUUGGCAGCACCAGUGUUGGGAUUUCAAUAGCAACCAUUGUAGCAAGUGCUAGUUUACUAAUACAGUACUGUAGUGUAAUCAAGAAUCACCACUACUACACUGCACUAGUUGGUGGAAGGUGAUGAUCUUAACUAUAAGGUGGUACCUUUUUAUACUGCAAAAAGUGUUACAUGUAUUCCAACUUUUUGGGCAGAUUAGCUUGGAAUAUUGAAGUUGGUGUUAGGUGGGUGAAGCUUGGCUCUGCCAACUUCCAUUAUAUUCUUAUUUUAAUGAAAAACCAAUGAAUUUGUCAGUUAAAUUGGGAUGAAAAGUUUCCUUUUUCAAAUUUAUAAGUAUUUGUGGUAGGGAACAUCAAUUUCACUCCAAGUUCCUCUGGUUAUUAAACAUAGAUGUCUUUCUCAGACACACUUCAUUGAAAUUUGUUCUCUGACAGUAACAUCUUCCACUACAUGUGUAAAAUAAUAUCGAUGGUUGUUGGGUUGGGAUGGUGAGUUAAAGAAGCUUUUGUUGUUUUGUUUUUCCUACACCAUUCUCUGAGUUAUUCUCUUUCCGUUUUUGUUUUCUUAUGAUUUUCUUUGGCGGCUUGGAAGUUUUUUAAUUCCUGUGUUUGUUGUGACCAGUUUUGGUCGUAGGUAAUCUUCGAAAUUCAGAAAAAUAUCUUUCAGACCUAAUGUUAUUUGCUUUUACUUUCAAUAAAAUAUCGUGAUUUUGAUUUUUAGUAACAGGAUAAGAUGAUCGCGUCAGAUAAAUUCGAUCGAGUGUCUACAAAUUUUAGAAUAAUUGAUGAGAGAAAAAUAUUUCAAUGUCUAAUAUAGACGCUAACAUUUAUACGAUGGACAUAGUUACAAACACAGAUACGAACACAGUGAUAUACACGAAUACGAUCACGAACACAAAUAUAAAAAUACGUAUAAUUUUUAGAAUAUAUGAUAUAUUUAUGUAUAUAAAUAUGUUUUAGUUCUUUUUUUUAAGUAGAAAGAUGUUUUUCAUCUUGUUCAAAAUGAUUUGUUCUUUAUUUUUAUAAUUAUAAUAAAAAAAUUUACAAUAAAUUUAAAUUUUUAAAAAAUUAAUAUAUUUCUCUUUUUUAGAAUUGUGUUAGAAUCGUAUUAUCAAAAAUUUAACAAAUAUUUUUUAAAUUGAACACUUCACUGAUGUAUCUCCUACGAGUGUCGGUGACAGAUACGUAUGUUUAACAUGGACCUAUCAUAAAUAUUUAGAGAGUUAAAAAAGGAGAAAAAAACUAAUAAGACAGUGGAGUAAAACUAUCUAAAUUCUCCUACUACCACUUGAUUUUCUUAGUGGGAUAUGAAGUAUAUUAAAAGUAAGCUUAAUAUUUUUUUACAGGUUAAAACACAUUGGUGUAUUUCAAUGUUUUUUAUUGUUUGUCAUGUUAAUAUACAUAAAAAAAAGGCAAACCUGCCCCAUUUAUUUUUUAACAUGGUUAAUUUCAAAGGAAAUUUGAAUUUGAAAAAUAAAGAGAAUUAUAAAUAUCGUCAAGGAUAUUUUAGAAAUAUUACACGUGUUUAAAUUUUUUAUAUAAUUUAAUCUUUUAGUGAAGUGAAAAUUACUCAUUAACUAGAUUAAGGUGUAAUCCAAAUAUUAAUAGAUGACUGAAAAUGAGAAAAUAAUACUAGAAUUAGAUUACAUAUUUUUUUAUAUAGUAGUGAUUAUUGUAGCUGCUUAACAAUUAAGGGCUGUCAAGAAAAAAGUAGAUUUGUUGCAUGUAUAACACACGAAAAUAUAUAUAAUUUAUUGAUGGUUAAUGAGUAUAUUAAUGAAAUAUUUUUUAAAAUAUAAGAAAAAAAUGAAAUUAGUGUGAAAUUAAAAGGUUUUAUAGAUGCAUUUUAUUGAAUGUUUAACGAAAUUAAAUUACACGUAUGAUAAUAUGAGGAAGAAAAAUGGUGUAAAUUGACAGUUACCUACUUAACCUUUAUAAACGUCACCUAUUAUAGUGUUGAAAUAGUGGGUAGCUAGGUUGCAUGAUUCUGGCACCAAAACAAUAUUUUAAGAUAAGGGCUAAUAUUUUUUGUUGAAUCAGUCAAUCUUUAUGCUUUUCUAUUCAACCAACCCUUUCUAUAAAAUUCACAAUGGUCUUGUUUAAUUUUCCAACUUAUACAUAUAUGUAAGAUCAUUUUUUCAUUUUCAUUAAUAUCUUCAAACUAUAUAUAUAUAUAUGAGAAGUAUAUAUAUAUAUAUAUAUAUAUAUAUAUGUAUAUUUUUUUUUUACAUUAUUAUUGAGAUACAAAUUUACAUAUGAGAUUAAUUUAUUGGUUUGUUUUAAAAUUGUAAUUUUUCUCAAACGGGUUGGAGUCAAGAGAAUGAUUGUUUUUCCUUCUCGGUCGGUCUACUCUUUCUUUCCUCUUCUCAAAGCGACCUUCGUGCUCUCCUUUAGUUACUAUAUUCCUCGUCUUCGUGAACUCCACACUCUGGAUGAUACCUACAAAAGGCACUCCAACACUCAAGUGGGAUUUCGAUGUUCGAUACUGGAUGGUGACGUAUCUGAUUCUUGAAAUUUGUGCCUAUUUAUAUUAUUAUCAUUGAAUCGGAUUAGGGAUUUAGAUCAUGAUUAGAAGUGUAUUACCUAAUGAUUGACCACUGAUUAGUCUUGUUAAUCUUCUGUUUGAAUGUAAUAAUUUUUUUUCAUUAUUUAUUGCUGAUAAAAAAAAAUAUUAGUACAAUAACGAUAAUGAAUAUAAUUUUAAUGUGGUAAUGUAACUUAAUAAAUACACCAAUAAUAUAAAACAUUAAAAUCAAUUUUCGUAGAUAAUAAUGGAAAUCAAGGAUUGUUCUUAUUAGGUGAUAAAUAAUGACUUUGGUUAAACUUUAUGGAUAUUUCUCAUUGACUAAUAUACUUUAUUGGAUUAUCUUUGAAUUGUUGCGCUUAUAAUAUAUUUUUAUAUUUAAAAAAUAUCUACUUUAUUAGCUACCAAAUUACAAUUAAGACUUUUUAAAUAUUAAAUAUUAAAUAUAUACAACACCAACGUGCUUCUUCUUCACAGCAACGUCAUAAUAUUGUGUUAUAAUCCAUACCAACUCUGAUUUUAAUUUUUAGAUGUGUGGCCCCUCACUGGGGUGUAUUUAGAAAAAUUAUUGAUUUUUAAAACAUUGGUAAGCUUAAAUGUAAGCCAAAUUCUUCCUCAACCUCCAUAUAUUUGUCUUGCACCUUCAUAUUAAUAGUAAAAAAGUUAUUUUAAUCAUUUUAAAAAAUUUAAAUGAGUCAUAAACUUACAUUUUUAAAUAACAUCAGUAGUUGCUGCAUCCACUUAUUUAUCUUCAGUGGUAUAUUUUUGUUUUUUCAGUUAUAACAUUUUCAUUCUUCUUCAUCCACAUGUGUGAAAGUUGACAAAAAAAAUCGUUAUAUUUAACGUUUACGAAAACAUAUUUUUUUUAGCUUUAAAUUCCAUUUUUUCACCUUUUAAGUUAUUUUUUUAGGUUUGUAACUAUAAGCUUUAUCCCAAUUAUCAAUGUUCAUCACCAACCACCAAAAACAAUCACCAUAAACAAUCAUCACCACUUAAAAAUGAAAAAAACAAAACACUCUUCAUCAUACUCCAUAAAACAAAACUUUUUGUGUACAUAUUACAUGCACACAACAAAAUAUUAACACCUAAAAAUAAGUUUAAAAAAAAAAAUUCAAAUAAGAUAUAUUUACUUACUUAUCCUUUAAAAAAAGUGGAAAUAAAAUUUCUAAAAACAAAAUGUAAACACACAGCACAAAAGAAAUAUAAAACGAGAUAUAAAAUUUCAAUAAAAAGAUUACAUUAACACCAACAAAUUAAACUAAAAAUUCUAAGACAACAUGAUUUUAGAAAGAAAGUAAUGAAUAAUGGAUUUGAAACUAACCGAGAUGUCAAAUUGUAUAAUUAUUAAAUUUUUAUUUAAAAAAAUUAUUAAUAUAUUUUUUUUCAAAAUAAUUAAGGUGAUUGGUAUGGUUUAGCACAAGUCUGACUAAAAAAUUGAUAAAAGAGGAAAAGGUUGUCCUUUAUACGACUUACAGCCUGUGAAUUGCAUUUAAAACACACAAAAAACAUUAUGAACACUGUUUAAAGAAGUGUCGGUCACCUUUAAUUUAAGAACACUCAUUGGAAUUUUUUAUUGAUUUUGAUACAACUUAUGAAGUUCUUUGUUUAAUUGGUUAAGAUUAGGAUGUAUUUUAAUUAAUUACAUGUAUUAAUUUAUCAACAUAGAUUAUCAUAACUUAACUUCACCCUACUAUUUGCUAUAUAAAGUUCAUUUGGACUUUAAUUUAAAACUAAAUCUGAUUUUUUUUAAUUAUGCUUAGAAUAGUUCCAAUCCGACUUUAUAUUAAUGUUUUUUAAAUUUUGUUUACUUGUUUUAAAUUUUGAUAGGAUUGAAUUCAAAUUUGAAUUAAAUGAUAAGAUAUGAUUAUCAUUUUGAACCUAAUUAAAACAAUUACCAUCAUCCUAAUUUAUCAUGUUCUUAUAAGGUUGAGUUCCUUCUAUAGUGAUUUUUUUUUUUCCUCGUCUUCAUGGUCUUCAAGUGCGAUGGUCUUCAAUCGAUUCUUCCUUUCACAGAGAUGAGUGGAGGAAUCUGCAAAGGCACUCUGACGAUCAAGUUAGUCUGAGUACAAUGUGCAGGUGAGUCGAGAUAGAAAAAUUACUUUUGACGCUGAGUCUCCUAUGAUAUUUAUACAUUUUGGAUGGAUCUCAGUUUUCAUGGACUUGCUCGUGGAUCCAAAAGAGUGGUCAAUCAUACCUUAAUCACGACUUAUCACUAAACUGACUUAAUGACGGUUAAUUGUGAAUUUACAAAUUGUGUUUAUAUUAAAAGAGUCAUUAAGUCUUCUCAAUCAUUCGAACAUUUUAACCUUUUUUACUAUAUAUUAGUACAUGUCUCACUUUAUCAUUGAUUCUCAAUCAUUCAAACAUUUUAACCUUUUUUACUAUAUAUUAGUACAUGUCUCACUUUAUCAUUGAUCGACAUAAAAAUCAAAACAGAAUAAAACUCAGCAUAAAAAUAAAGAAAAACAUACCAUUUAAAGAUUGAAAGUGACAAGAAGAAAUAUCAUGGAAGUUGGACAAACUUGAAUCCAAAAUUCAGUUUUCAUCCAUAAUUUUGAUUUUCUUUGUAAGUUGUGUAAUAGUUUUUUGUUCGAUCUGGAGAUUGAUUGUUUUAUAUGGAAUUUAAAUAUUAAAAAAAGUAUAUGUUAAGAUAUAAUUAACCACUUUAUUAAUCCUGAAUAUUUUUCUGUAAUAAUAAUAUAAAGAUUAAUAAAGUUAUAAGAAUGUGUAGGAAAUAUAAUAUAUUGAAGUAAAAGCACGAGAUGUUGACUAAAUAGUAUAGUACCCGUGGCUUGACUAUUAAACUGAGUUUAAGUAAGCAUUAGUAAGUCUAUUCUCUAUCAAACACCAAGUCGAAAAGUUAAUGCUAUGACUUUCUUACUUUUCAAAAAACAACUACUGUGGAAAAUCUUUGCAGGAAAACUAUUGGAUCAUGUUCUAAAAACAUAUUUAUUCUUGAGUUAUAUAUUAUACUUUUAUCACACAACUUUAGAUAAUAAGAGAUUUUUAAUAUACUCAUGUCAGAAACAAAGUCACGUUACGAACAUGAAUAAAAAAAUUUAUGUAAAAUAAAAAUAAAGAGAUGAAGUCGUUACUAUAGUUUAUUGUAAAAAAUUAUGAAAAAAUUAAGAAGAUGAUAAGCAAAUUAGAUUUGAGUUUCAGAAGUCGAUUAUAUGUAGAAAAAGUAUUAACAACUCUACAACGACUAUGUUUAAUUAAAUAUGUAAAAUAAGUGUGAUUUAUUAAAAUAUUAUUUUUUUCGACAAAUAUAAACAAAAUGCAUGAAGAGAAUUUUUUGAAUUUUUAUCUACAUAUUUUCAUAAAUCAGGUUUACACAAUUCUAAGAUUAAACUAUUUGAGUAGGUGUUAGUGUGAGAUGGACUUUUUCUAUAUUUAUAUUCUUUUGGAUUUUAUGUUUUUAUAAAGAAGGAAUAUUGAGUAAAGUAACCCUAAACCCUAAACAUACAAUUAUUCCAAAUUUUAAAAAUAUUUAGGUAAGAGGUGGUGUGGAUAUUAAUUUGACUAUGGCGAAUAGGAAAACUACUGGACCAGCAGAAUAGACUCAGGUUUAUUUGGUAAAAGUGGUGUAUAUAUUGAAAGUGUAGUGCAAAUAGUGAAGCGCGGGGAUGGGGAUUUUAAAUGAAAAGAAGGGGUGUCAAACAGUAAAACUGCCGCGCCAGCAAGAUGGGCCACGGUUUCUCUAAUUUAAAUUAUUUGUACCGAGAGGUGCAUGUGUGAAACAGGGGCGCUUAAAGCAAAAGAAACCCAAUAAUUAAAAUGGCCCACAUUUGUGGAUAAUUGAUUGCAACUUUAUUAAGUCAUCAUAUUAUUUUAACAUUGAAGUGUAGAUUUCAUUCAUUUUACAAAAUGAAGUUCAAGAUAAAUAUUGUCAUUCUCUGGUACAGUAUAUUUAACUAUAAUACAACAACCACAACGUGAUAGUUCUCAUAAUCUAUCACCACUCUAAGUUAUCUACAAAUGAAUAGGUAUUAUUUCUUUAGAACUCAAAUAAUGUUUAGGGUUUAAUGUUUACUGUUUAAUCAUUCCAAGUGAAGCAAUGAAGGUGAUAAGAAAAAGUUGAAAGCAUAGCUUUGAUCAUCUAGCAAGACAAUGAAUUCCCUCUAACCACCAAUGUUUCUCAGACGUUCCAGCACAUCUUUUUCACCAGUGAGUUGCUUAACCAAACCUUUGAAUUCACCACAAAAGUUCAAUACCUCAUGGUAAAAUUAAACAAAACCAAUAUAGUAAACAACAAUAUAGUAAACAAUACUGCAUGAUAGAAUUUGUAAAUCGAUCAUAUAAGUUUAACACAAUUUCAUAAUGAAACUGACUAGCGUCGAAAUAUCUUUGCAAAUACCUGAGUCUAACAGACGAAUAGCAGCAGAAGAUUAUCAGAUACUCGCUAUGAGAUAUUCAGUCUAGUCCAUAGUAAGAACAAAUAUAAUUCAUGAUUUCCAAGAUAGAUAGAGUACUAAAGUAGUAAUUAUGCAAACAUGCAGGGCAGCUAAAAGUUCUUUCCACAAAAGGGCAUAUACAACAUAAGGUCCAUCACUGAAUAAAUUCUUACUGUUGGUAUAAUCGCGACAAUCGUGCAGGCCAAUUCUCAAAUCAGUUUCCCAUUUUUUGUUGAAUUCUCUUGCUUUUUCCACUGCAUCCUCAGUUGAAUAUCCAACAAGCCAGCAUUUGUUUUUUGGCAACUUUUGUAACUUCCUCGCCAGAACAACACCUAGGAAUAGAACAGAGUUCAUGAUUUUAUUAAGGUAAUAUAACAACAUUUAUGGAGAUAAAAUCCAAUCAGAAAGUUCAAAAAGCUGUCACAAAUAAAUCGGUCCAAAAUGGUCAAGUUUGCUAUGACAAAAGGUUGGCAUCAUAAUGUCAUCUUAGAAGAACUAAAUGCACCAGGAAUCAAAUUCUUGAUGCUGAAGCUCCCACAAUAGCAACAGCACAUUGAAAAUUUUCCUCUGAAAUGCUAUGACAGCAGAUUUGAUCAUAUGCUUUCACUGAUGAUAACAGAGGCUACAAGGAAACUAUAUAAAUAACAUAAAAGUUCAUAUAUUCAGAUAACAACAUCUUUCAUCAUCGUUAAGAUAUUCAGAUUGUGAUUUUUUUUAUAUGAUUGCCCAACUGCAGUCACAAUCUAGAAUAGCAGCAAUAACACAAAAGGGCCUAAUUGAGAGUUCCAUAUGGUAUGCAAACUUUUAAAUCCAAUAAUUGACUUGUAAUCUAGGUAACUAAUCUCACCUGGCACUGCUCUACCAUACAUAGCUGCUAAAGCCACAUAUAAAUCUUCGGGAUCUUUGGGCUGAAAAUCAAACACCAGAACCUGAAAAGGCAUUAUCAUUUUUGUGACUAGCUUAGAACUCAAGCUUGAACAAAAUGGCAGUCAUUGGUGAUAUUAAAUUACUGAAACAAAAAGAAGCCAAUGUUUCUAUUCCCAAUAAGCAGUAAAUCAAAUUAAACAAACUACAAAAGACUGGUUUUGUACCGGUUGGUCCGUACGACUGAGUGAAAGCCCGAAAGCCCAAUACUUUGACCGAAACCAUCACAUCCAAAAAGGAAUAAUGAGAUUAAUAAUGAUCAAGCACUAGAUAACACAUUCUUAACCACGAACCAUAUCUUUAAUCCGGCCCAAUAACAAAGGACUCAUGAUAUCAUAUAAAUAAACAGAGAUUCCAAGAAUCAGGUAGAUCAUCAUUCAGUAAUAAUAGAAUCGAGUCUCAAACACCAAAGUCUUACUUGAAUGUCGGAACGUCUUUUGCAGUUACUAUCCGAAUCCGGAUAUCACGAAGACAAGUAGUAGAGGAGCGAGAAGAGUACGAAGAAGAGAUCAUUUGAAUUGAAGUGAAGAAAGGUAAACCGACCAACCUCGGAGAUAUCCUUCUCUUGGUUACAACCCAUUCCAUAACAGGUUCAAUUUUAUUUUGAAAAAAGUGAGACUUUGCAAUGUUCAAAGUUUGAAAUAUACUAUGAGAUGAAAACCCAUUUGAAUAAUAAUAAUAACAUAUCAAUCAGCAAGGAAAUUAUUAAAUAUGAAUAACAUUCAUCUCAUGAAUUGAAGGGUAAUUACUGAGUACUAGGAAGGAAAUGAAAAUACGAAGAAGAAAGGAAAUUGACCUGAGAAGGUGAAGAAGGUUUGAUGAUGACCAUGAAAUGCUGCAAAUCCCAGAAAUUGAGGGAGUAAGCAGCAGACAGAAGCAACUGGGGUGGUCCCUUUGUAGCCCUUAGAGGCAUUGCAGCUACAUACACUUCAUCUCUGCCUCUCACCAUUGCUGAGUUCCAAAACAACGAUACCAUCUUUUCCCCAAAAUAACUACCAAUGCCAAACUCUUACAUAGAUCAUAGACACAUCCCACAUCGCUAAACUCAAGUGCUCAAUUCAACUCUAUCCGUUGCAGCUUUUACUGCCUCAAAUUGCAUGUCCAAAUAUCACUUUAAUUUAUUCUUUUUUCUAAAAAUAAAUAACUUCUACUUUUUGUUUAUUUAAAUUAGUUAUAUGCAAAUAUUUUAGAAUUUUUGGUUUUACACUUUCUUUAAAAUUAAAAAAAAAAUACUUCAAUGAUAAGAAUAUUUGUCAUUUUAUUAUUUUUUUAACGCUAAAAUUCGUAUAAAGGUGUAUAGAUUUCGUUUAAAUUGUUAUUUUAUAAAUUAAUUCUUCGUUUUCACCCUUUUAAUCUAUUUUUUCUUGUGUUAUCCCUUACUAAAUAAAAACUAAUAAAUUAAAAAAUAUGCAAAUGAAAAAGAGUUGCACAUAUAUAACCUUUAAGAAAGAUGUUAAUGUAAAUCAUCAUAUGAUUAAUGUCAUUAUUCAUAGAUCUCUCUUUAAUAUUGUGUGUUGUUCUGUCAUUAGUAUACAUCAUUUUUGUUAUAACACAUAGUAUGAUCUAUACACCACAUUUGUGCAUUACAAGAGAAAAAUGCAGAUGGUAGUUUCUCCAAAUGUUCUAAUCUCAAGUCUGAGAGAUAGGAUCUGAAAUAUUAACCAGAGAUCAGUGUUUUAUCACAGUUUUAUCCUUAAAAAUUGUCUUCAUGUAUUGAAGAAGGAAUAAAUAUAUAUAUUAUCUUUGAUCUUAACUCCUAAAUUAUCUCCUAAAUUAUGUGAUAGGUGGUAUGGAACAAUGAGAAAACAUCCCAGAAUCACAACUUUGGUUGAUUAAGGAGAAUGGAAAAGAAACACUGAAUUGGCAACACAAUGUAAUAUAAGAUACUAAUAAUGUACGUAUUUAUUUGAUCAAACAAAGUUAUCCUGCUGCAUGCAGAAUGACACAAGGACCAUAACAGACUUCAUUCAUUCGUACUUGUACUACCUUGAAUGGAGAGCCACACACUAAUUCCCGCAUAGAGUACAUAAACAGAUCCAAAGAGUACAACUGAUGCACAUGUCAUGUGGUUUGAGUACGAAGUUGUUGGCAUUUCUGAACUCAAGUACCUCCUCUCACAUCCCUCCAUUCUUCCUAUUUAGCUACACAUUUUUAUUAUACCACUAAGCAAACAAAACAAACACAUGCAACAACCAACGACACAUAAUGCAAUCACUCUCAUAAACUGCACAUUUUCUUUACUCAGUCUUCUCAGUUGGACCCUCCUCGCUCUUCUCAUCACCUUCUGCGAUCACUUCCUCCUCUUUCUUUUCAUCUGACCCUUCUGUCUCAACCUUCUCCACCUCACUUUUCUCUUCUGGGGUUUCUGUGUUUACCUCUUCCUUAGCUAUUUCUUUCUCUUCUUUAACAGCAUCUUCUUUCUGGGUCUCUGCCACAGCUUCUUCUGCUGCUUCUGCUGUUUUCACCUCAACAGGAUCAGCAUUUUCUUUUGCUUCCUCAGCAGCUUCUGUCUCGGAAAUUUCCUCUUCUGUCUUCUCAACUGUUGGCUCUUCCGUGGCAGUCUCAGACACAACCUCUUCUGCCACUUCUUUAGUCUCAACUUCAACCGAGGGCUUGUCUUCUGAAGCUGCAGCUUCUGGGGCCUCUGUAGUUUCCUCGUUGGUUUGCUCAGUGACAGACUCUGGUUCUGGUGCUGGUGUUGGUGUUGGAGUCGCAGCAAUUUCUUCUUUCUUUUCCUCCUCCCCCUUCAACGAUGCCUCUAUCUUGUCCUCAGGGAGGGCAACCUUUGCUGAUACAACCUAAAAAUUCCAAUUUAAAGAAAUAUUCAGAUGAAAAUUCAUAUUUUGUUCAUUAGAAUCCUAACUUCAACUUUGUUGCUGAGAAAAGAAAAACAUAAUAAGGUGGUGGAAGUGGAGUUUCAACACUUCUUGCUCUUUUUUUCUUAGUAACCAUUGGUUAAUGUACCCUUCUCAUAAUUCUUGCAAAAUACACUACAUGGAUGGAGUAACAAAGCUGCUAGAUUAAUAUAGAUUCAUCUUUCUCUUCAUAUUAAUACUCUAACAAAUAUGAUUCAUAUGACUGAUAGCAGAGGCUUCUUUGUCUGUAAUGACAAACAAAUUGUAAUUUGCAUUUAAACUACUUCAUACUUUUCUGUAUAAUUUUCUCAUACUUCAAUCUCUUUUGACAGAGUUAUUUAUACAUUGAUAAGAUCCCAAGUGGCUGCUAUCAGAAAAAAAAAUGAUCAUUGGAAUAAUGAAAGCUAAAGAAGUGAAUAAUAGUUUCCUGCUUAAGAUAACAUAGAAGUAAGAACAGAAGGAGUAUAAAUAUAUGAUGAUGAAACUGAAAACAAAUGAAGUAAUGCCAAAAGAAGAUAAGCAAGGAAGUAUUUAGUAGAGUUACCUCAACAGUGGCCAUUGGAAUAGGAGAGAAUGUGGAAGUGAUUGAGAAGGAGGAAAGUUGAGAGUGGUAUAGAAGAAGGGUAAGGUUUUGAUGAAAAGAAAUGAGCAUUAAGAGUGGCUUAUAUAGACAUAAAGGGGUGUAGUAGAUGGAAGAAAGGGAGAGGUGGGGACAGUUGAAGAAUCUUGGGAUUUGACCCUCCAUCACUCAAUGUUACUAAGCAUGUUUGGCAAUAAUGGUGACAAAGGCUUAGAGAUGAGGUUAUAUUAUUAUUUUAUAAUGCUUCUUUCGGAUCUCUCAACUGAGAAGCUGAAUAAUGGAGAACGAUUUUCAUUGAGAUCAUCAUUCUUUUCUUUCUAAGUUUCUGUGCUUUGUGCAGUCGGAUUUACAGGGUGAACUAUCAAAUUCAUACACACUGAUUUAGUGGUAAAAUAAUAAUAGUAAUAAAAACUUAACAUAUGCUUCUUUUAACUAAUUUAUCAGUAAAUUACAUUUUUUUUUAAGUGUAGAGUCUUGGGUCGAGUCCGAAAGAGGGUUAUGUGGUCGUUUGGAGAUUAACAAGUAAUCAGCUUUUUAGUCUCAUUAGCUUAUGCAUGAGGUUACGGGACGUAGAAUUUUGGAUCGAGUCCAAGGUAGCAUGUAAAAGGAAUAAUCAACUUUUUAGUCUCAUUUGCUUAUGUAUGAGAUUACGAGAUUCUAGAAUUUUGGAUCGAGUCCAAGGUAGCGUGUAGAAGGAUGUAGAUCUUGGUAUUAAAGGGUUUUUAUUCCAUUACACUAAAUCAAGAAAAUCUCUAAUAAUUAGCGAUAACAAUAUAUAUAUAUAAAAGAAGACAAAGGAAGAAGACGGAUCACACACUAAUUAAAAGGACAUUUAUUAUUGGUUAUACUGAAUGUUUUAGGUCUAAGAUUGAAUGUUUUAGGUCUAAGAUCGUCACGACUAUUGUCUAAAAACACUUAUUUUUAUAUUAUUUUUUUUUCAGUAGUUCGUUUUCUUAGAAAAUUUUCAUGACAUGGUAUAUCAGUACACUACUUGGAUUGAUUCUUACAAUUAUUAGUUUGAAGAUAGAUUAUUUAAAUAAAAGGAUUCAAUUAAACUCUUACCCCAUGUGUGAUUUUCAUCUCUUUAUUCUAUAAUGCAAAAAAAUUGCUGUCAUAACUUUUCAAUUCAUCACCAUAAACACUUUAUUGAAUCAAAAAGAUAGAUUACAGAAAAAAAUGGUUAGAAUUCUGUGAUUUUGGAUGCAGUGAAAUGAAAUGUUCCAUUGAUGGAUCCCAAACAAACAAAUAAAAUAAAUAAAUGGAGAAUGGCUCCAGAUCAGACCCUGACGCAGGUAAAGCAACAAACCGUCGUUCACCUAAACAAUGUGGGCCUUGGUCGGCUGGUGGGCCUUGGGCCCAUGUUAGUGGGCCCUGCCAGGAGAUUCACAUCUGGUACCGUACUUAUACCCAAUCGCUGCGUGCCACGUGGAAAUCACGCACCGACCAUUGUUUCUCCUUUUGAUUUUGAUGUGAUGAGAUGAGACUACAAUUGUAAAAUCAAAGUCUAUGAAUCAUGCCACCAUUGACAUGUUCUGUUGUGUUUCAUAUUGCACUGUUGGGCUAUGGGUAAAAAAAUGUGUGUUAAUUUUGUAUGAAAUGUGAAAUGAAGUCAUGAACCCUAGAAACAAAAUUUAAAAAUUGGAGAUCUGAAGCAUGAGGAAGAACUGUGACAAGAAUCCCUCAGAAACAGUGUGGAAUUGUGGAUCCUACUGGUUCCAAAAUAGAAUGAUGAGGCCUAGGAAUUAAAAUUUGUGCAUCACAUCAUCUUUCACAUUGGAAUUAUUUACCUAACAACACAUACAUAACAGUGCCUCUUGUAGCUGUAAAACUGGAAACAGACACAUAAAAAAUAAUUAUUGCCAAAUGUGUUUGUUCAGGGCAUGAAAAGGUGCAAUAAUACCUGCUCUUUCGUUACGAUUCAAUCGAAAAUAUCAAGUUGUAUAGUGAUGUCAAAUAUGAAGAUUUUAUAAAAAAAAAUAUUACGAAACAAUCUAUGAUUAAGAAAGAAGAUAAUUUUUAUAGGUGUUGUAAUCCCCUAAUAUGACCCAACAACGAAUGUCCAUUGAGGUAAUAUAAAUAGUACGUAUUUCAAAGAGAAAUGUAUGUCAUUAUCUACAGUACUCUGAUAGUCGAAUGCUGUCGAUACCUCACUAACUUGAGCGUUGGAGUGUCUUCUCCAGAUCCCCAAACCCGUUCGAGAACAUGUGUUAUUUUAUAUCUUAUCCUCAGACAUUUUUAAUUUUUUAUUUAGUUUUAUUAAUAUAGUUAAAGAGUUUAAUAAAAUACACUGCCUAAAAGGUGUUAUUGAAGAGUUGCUUGAUUCCAAAUUUCCAAAUUAAAGUUAAAAAGGAGGUGUAGACGUAAAAAAAGGAGGUGUUUCUAUUAAUUUCAGUUAAUUUCCCUACAGCUUUUGAGCCUUUUUCAUAACUCAACGCAAUUUAAUGGGGUCGUCUUGCUAUCUCUUUCCCCAAAAAGUCUAUGAUAUGACUCUUUCUUCCUACACCUCCAUACCUUCUUGUGUCACCCCAUACUAAAUAUGAAAAUACCAUUUUUUUUUCACCCCCUUGGAUUUGAAAUGAUAAGCCUAUGGAUUAUGUAAUCCGGAUAAAUUCCAGAUUACAUAAUCCGGAAGUCAAUUUUAUAUUUAGAAAAGACUUCUGGAUUAUGUAAUCCGGAAGCUAAUAACACAUCUGAAAAAAAGACUUUCGGAUUACAUAAUCCGGAAGCUAAUCUUAUGUAUAGAAAAGACUUCCGGAUUAUAUAAUCCGGAAGCUAAUCACAAAAGACUUCUGGAUUACAUAAUCCGGAAGCUAAUUCUGAAUCUAGAAAAAGACUUCCAGAUUAUGUAAUCCGGAAUAUUGAAAAGGGUAUUUUUGAAAUAAGAAAAAUUUAUAGGGGUGGCACCAGAAGGUAUGGAGGUGCAGGAAGAAGCAGUCAUUUUGCUCUUCACACUUUCAUUUUUUGUUUCUCUUUUGCAGAUUUAGUGGAAACUCAAUUUGUAGUGCAGUUUUGAAACAAUUUUUUGGAAAGUAAUAAUUUUAUUCUUCACACUUCUCCUUUUAAAUUAUUUUUAUAUUCUCCAAAUAUCACUUUCCCUCAACUUUAACACAAAUUUUACAAAAACUAGAUGUAGUUAUAUUCUAAUGUAUUAUUAAAUUAAAACUAGUUAUGGAAUGUAUUUCUACACUACAUUUUUUUCCAUGGUAUAAAGAGAAACAAAUUACAAAAACUUGUUUCAGAAGUAUUACAACAUAACUAUAUAUAUAUCACACAAAAACAAAUUUUCAUGAAGAAUAAGUGGGUAGUGUAAGAAAAAGUGGUGUAGACAGCAUUAAAAACUCUUAAUUUUGGAUAAGCCCAAUAUCCAUUGAUAUAAAAUCACACAAAUAUCGAUAGAAAAUUCGAACAAAUUAUAUUUGCACUUUAAAAAUUAAGGCAUAUACUAUCCUAGAAACUUCGUUUUCUAUUAACUCUACAAAAGAUCUAUCAAUUAAUAAAUUGUAAAAUCAUUUUCAUAGAUAAUUUUCUAUCACUUUUUUUAUAUAAUUUAUGACUCUAUAAAUUUAACUACAAUUUGAAUGGUGUGACAAAGAGGUGAAUGGAACUCAUUCAAUGAAAUAGAAUAUGUAAAAAAAAAACAUUUUAUAAUUUGAAGUAAAUCCUAAGAUGAGUGUCUGUUGCAGAAUGAAGGUUUUAACCAACCCGUGAUUCUCUCUCAAGAAAAAUAGCAAUGCAAAUGCUUGAGAACAAAAACAAGACAAAGAUUUCGGAUCACCACAUGAACAUUUCCUAAAAUUACCCAUAAAUUUCUCUUUGCUCCUGAAUUAUUGACCAUCUUACCACAAAAAAAACCACGGUAGCAGACAAAUGUGUCAUUUUUCCUUUGUCUCUCUUUCCCUUUUUGCUUAUAGUUAAUGAUCAUUUUUGGGUUUUGGGAGAUGCAAACUAUAAUUGUUUUUUUCAGUUUCACUGAUUCCUUCAAAACUUUUUUGCAUUGUUGAAUUGGGUAAUCUGCAUUUUCUCUAUCCCAUUUGUUUAGUGGGAUUUUGUUCACUAUCAUUGUUCGUUGUGACGGUUGAUGAGUUAACCACCUUCCCUGUUGGAGCUGAAUCAAGUUCCAAGAAGAUGGGGUUUGAUGAAAACAAAGAAGCUGGGGAGAAAAGUGAGGCAACAGAUCAUGAAAAUCACAAAAGUGAAGAUGAGCAUGUGAGCAGGCAAACCAGUGAGGCUUCAAUCUAUGCAACUGAAGAAGAUGAGGAGGAACUUGCUUCCAAGAUUCAAUUGGGUCCUCAGUGCACUCUUAAAGAACACCUUGAGAAAGAUAAGGUUUUGUUUCUGUCAAAUUAACCUUAAGAUUCCCAACUAAUGUCCUGUGUUUUGUUUAUCAGUUAAUUCACCUUCUUUGGUUGGUUUCUGUGGUUCAAUUAGGAUGAUGAGAGUUUAAGGAGAUGGAAGGAACAACUCCUUGGAAGUGUAGAUGUGAACAAUGUUGCAGGUUUUUUAAUCUCUUAAUUAAUCUUUCCAAAGGGUAUCUAAGAAUCAUUUUCAUUUUCAAAUCCGAGUACCCAAAGGCUAGUUAGAAUCAUUUUUUUAUGGCUUAUGAGAUAACUGUUAUAAUAGUCAGUAACAUGUUAGAGUAUGGUUAGGUAUAUCCUAUGUUGGACAAACACUAACACAGACACUGAUAUGACACAAACACAAAGAUACGUAUAAUCUUAAUGUAUUUCUUUUUUUUAAAACUGCUUUAGACUCGUGUUAAAAUUGUCAAAAAUUUAACAAAUAUUUUUUGAAUUUGACACACUUCAUCGAUUAUGUAUUCUACGAGUGUCGAUGUUCGAUACUUGUGUCCGACACGGACACGUCAUUUAAGAGGAGUGUCCGAACGUAUAUCAGUUUUUUGAAGUGUUUAAAUAGAUUAUGUGACUUGAUCUUUAUUUCCAGAAAUUUUGGACCCUGAAGUGAAAAUCACUAGCUUAUCUAUAGUCUCUCCUGAGAGAGAUGACAUUGUUCUUCCCAUUCCUGAAGAUGGGAAUCCAAAGGGUUUAUGGUUCACUCUAAAAGAAGGUAGUCACUAUCGAUUGAAAUUCACCUUCCAAGUGAACAAUAACAUUGUGUCUGGCUUCAAAUACACUAAUACUGUUUGGAAGACUGGUGUGAAGGGUAAUUAUCUUUUGCCCAAUCCAUUCCUAUUUAAACUCAAAUAACUCUCUUACAAUCAUCAUUCUAAUUUCAGUGGAUAGCUCAAAAGAGAUGCUUGGAACUUUCAGCCCUCAACCAGAAGCUUACACACAUGAGAUGCCUGAAGAAACCACACCCUCUGGACUAUUUGCAAGAGGAUCAUAUUCUGCAAGAUCAAAGGUAAUAUUAUUUCACAUCCCACAUCGACUCAGAAUUAAGACAUUUCAUAGUAUACAAGUGACUGCUAACCUUAUUUAUAAAUCGAUUUUAUGAUGUUAAAUUAGACUUAAAGUGCACAUAGAACUAUGUAGCAGAAAGAUGUUUCUCAUUAUUGAUUCAAAAUGAUAAAUGUCUUAUGAAUGUCAGUAUUCGAUACGUGUCCGACACGAACAUGUCAUUUAAGAUGCAUGUCUCAGCCUCAUAGACAGAUAACAAUAUUUCUAGAUUUUUCUUUCUAGUGUUUUAUGAUGAUGAAUCAUAUUUUUUUCUUUUGCAGUUUCUUGAUGAUGACAACAAGUGCUAUUUGGAGAUCAACUAUACUUUUGAUAUUAGGAAGGAAUGGGCUUGAACAUGGUGCCAAUCUACCCAAUUUGCUUCUGCAAUAGUAACUCUUCUGCAUUUAGUCAAAUAUAAUUUUAUUUUUAUCUUUAUUCUAUUGACUUAAGACAUUCAUAUAUAUGGUAGUUACUGGAAUUUUGUUUGUACUCAAAUAUUUUUUUGUAUUCAACUAAAAACACACAAAGAGAGAGCAUUCUUUUGUAACUUUCCCAAUAAACAUGCCUUAAUUUUAUUUUAUCUUUUGCUUGUUCAAUUGUUUUAUAGUCUUUCAUCUUUUAUCCAAGGGUGCAACUAUUAAAAACAUAUUUAGAGUUUGAAUUGUAAUUGUUUUAUGAGUUGUAACUACUUUAGUGAAAAUCUAAAAUAUUAUAUGAGAUUUUUUAUCAUGUAAUACAAUAAUUAUCCAAAUACAAUAAAUCUAUUUUUAAUAAAUAAAAAUUAAAUACUUAGAUAUUUCUAACAUUUUAGCCUCUGAGAAAUGAAUUUAAUAAUGGUUUGGUAAAUAUAUUAGUGUAUUGAAAAAUUAAAACAAAGUCAUAUCCCUCUGUAAUCACGUAAGCCUAAUCAAUCAGUUUAUUUUAAUUUUAACACUAAAUACGAAAAAUUAUAAAAUAUAUUUGGGUUAGAGGUGUGGAUAAUUUACUGUCUCAGGAGGCUAAUCCUGUUUAACCAGUGAAUUGUGCAAAUUGCUUCUUGCACCCCUCGUACUAACAUAAAAAUAUUAAAAUAUUCUCUCACCCCCGCUGUUGCACAUUCACGAAAACUCAUUCCAAAAUAUGUUAUAUCCAUUGUAUAAAAGUUUAUUUCAUGGGUUUUAUCAUUAUCAAUCCAGUUUUGAAAAUCUUAUUUUAAAAAUUCCAUUUCAAAACUUUUAUUAUAAAAAUCCUAUUCUGGAAAUUUAAAAAAUAGUGUUCUAAAAAAUUUUCAAAACAUAUAUGUUUUUUUUUUAUAUAUAAAAGUUGUCAUGUUAGGUAUCACAAUGCAACUUGACUUCUCAGCAAGGCUGAUACCUCAAUUAACAACAAUCAUCUGUCAUCACAUGAAAAAAGUAUUAUUAAAAAAAAGAAAAAGAAAGAAAAUACAAAAAUAUGGGGGGACUAGACCAAAACCCACAUGUUAACAAAAACGAUACAUAAGUAGACUAUAGUUAUUCAUAAAGAAUUCUAAUAACAGACUAGAUGGAAGUCUAUUAUACCAAUGAAAUGAUUCUCUAUGAAUGAACCCUAAAUUAGCCAACUUAUUCAAAACAUAUAUGUUUUACUCAAAAGAUAUUUUCUUAUUACAACAAACAAUUAACUCAAAAACAAUUGUUUCUAAUUCUAUAAACAAUGUUAUUUUUUUAUUCACAUUGCAUUUUAUUUUAAUCUAGCUUUUUUUAUUUUUUAAUCAUAUUUAAUAAUAAUGAUGAUUUUAAUCUUGCAUAUCUGUCAACUUUAAUGUUCUUCACCCUAUUUUUCAUUCAGAGUAUAUAGAUCUCGUAAAUGUCAAGAUCGAGAGUGAUUCGCUCAAAACACUACUGAACUUGGUCCAUGAAAACACAAUUUCCUAACCUCUGACGUAAGUCAAUGAAACUUAAAAAGCUUUUUGAAAUUUACCGAAGAUGUUCCUUUUUCCAUGACCACACAAUAUAAUAUCAAAAAAUAUUUUUAAAAAAAAUGUGAAUUUGUCAUUUUAAAAAUUGUGGAGUACGAAAGAUAAUUGUAAGGAUGAGGAAGAAAAGAAAUAAAAAUGAAAGUCCAUAUAUACUGUGGACUGAGGUUUAUAUGUAUAGCUUAAAUUUAAACUCAAAUAUCCAUCUCUAAUUACUAAACUCUUAAAUAAUUAUUAAUUAUAGCUUUUUACAUCACAAUAAACACUCUAUCCAACAAAGUUGCACAUUACAUAAUCUUUAUUUCCCAACAUCCAUAAUGUAAAUUGUCAUAUAAAGAUAAUCGACUAAAGUUUGAGUAAUAAACCUAAAUUUUAAGUAGUAUUUUCAAUUAACAAAAUAUAUUUACUUAAACUUAUCAUUUAAACGUUAUAUGUACUUUAUUAUGAUAAAAAGUUACAUGUAUUCUAUUAUCAUAAAAAAAUUAUAGGUACUUUAUAGCCACAAAAUGGAAACGUGUUAUAUUUUAAAGAAUAAGACAUAUAUAUUUGAAGGUGGCUCAAAACAUGAGAGUCUGAAGAGUUAAUAAGUUUAAAGAAUAAUGAAAUGAAAAUAAUCUAAAAAAAAUAAAAUCAAACUUACCUUCAUAUCUUCCCUAGUAAUGAAAGUCUUGUGUACUAAUUAAUUAAUAAAUCCUAUAAUUGUAACGUAUUUACUAAGAUAAACUAAUAAGAGAUUGCUUUUUUUUGGAAGUUGUAAUCAAGAUACACAUAAUAUACUAUAGCAUGCUUUAUUAAUACUAUUUAGCACACAUUUUUGGUACAAUUUAGAUAAUAAGGUUGUUGCAUUUAAAAAGUUUAUUUUAUAUCGUAAAAAACUCAGUAGAAACAAAGUUAUUCUGUUCUGGAAUCUUUUAUCGGUUGAUCUGUGUUUUAUUAGAAAUGUAUGUAUUGUAUUUCAUCAUAAUUUUAUCUUUAAAAAAUAUAUUAAAAAAAUAAAUAUAUAAAUUAUUUUGAUCUUGAUUUUUAGCAAUAUAUAACUAUAUUUAUAGAAUAAUCAAACUACACCUCGUAUAUUUGAUUUGACAAAUAUAUUUUAUAAAAUUAAAUAGUUUUAUUUCACAUUAUUAAAAAGUAAGAUGAAGUCCCUUAAAAGCAAUAUUAUUCAUUCAAUUUCUAUGUAAUCAUUUUUUUUAACAAAAUGAUACGAAACAAAUCAUGAGACCCACUUAGUUUAACAAAUAACAAAAUUAUUGUAAAUUCUACAAUUACUCGUGCCACUUGUAUAAAUUACAAUAUACAAAUUAAAAUAAUGGUGUUAACAUUAUAUGCGUCCAACUAAAUUUGAUAAAUAAAUUCCCAAUUAAAAAAUUAAUUAACAUUAUCAUUCUUAAAUAGGAGAAAAACAAAAGUAACAUGUAAUGAAAAACCUUUAUUAUAAAUUAAUACGAUAUAUUAUCAGGUAGAGAGUCAUGAGUAUAGUUCUUUCUUACUUAAUAGUAUAAAUUAUACAAUUAUAUUGUAACUUCAUUCACGUUACUUCUUUUUGUUAAAAGACAAUCAAUACAACUCAAUUAUUAAAAAUCUUUAUUUAGUUAAUUCACUAUAUAUUAUACAAUUUUGUGUUUUGUAAUGUUAUACACAUCUAUAUUUUGUGGUGAUUUUACAUAAUUAAAUCUAACCCAUUGGUAAUUCUAUUAAAAAUUAAUAAUGUAUUGAAAAAAAUUAUAAUUAAUUCUUACUGUUGGGAAAAUCAUAACUAAUUUUUCUUUUUUGGUGUAAAUACAAAAUGGACAUUUGUGAAAAUAAUAAGCAAAUAAAAGAAAUGUUUUAAUUGUUAAUGUGUUUAAUUUCACAAAAUUAUAUUUUUUUUUUAUGUCUCUUAGAAUUUUGGUUAUCCAUUAAUGAAAUAUGAAUAAAAUAUUUUGUUAUGUAUAUUUUUUACAUCACACCAUGAAAGUUUUGAUGUUAGAUUGUGUAGAAGAAAGGAUAUUGAAAGGGUUGGAAGAUCUCACCAUAUUUCUUCAUCUAACUUUGGCUUGUGGUGUUGCAAGGUGUAGGAUGUAGUUUUGUUGGCAACUAGGUAUUGUGUUUGUCUUAUUUAGAUUUGUGAUGGAUACACAUUUUUUCAACCCACCUCAACUUCUUCCAAUAUACACUAACUUUUUAUAUGAGUGCUAUGUAGUGCCAUAAACCAUAUCACUUUAUUUUCUUUUGCUUAAACUAUGCAUGUAUGUAUGUUACUCAUGAUAUAUACACAUACAUAUAUGAUAUAUAGUAAGACUAGGUUGUUAAAAACAAAUUAUAUUUUUCUCGUUUGUGAAACUAUUACAUGUCACCACAAUAAUUUAAAAAAUAAGAAGUAUGAACUAAAAUUAGUUGUGAAGUUAAUUAGUGAACUUUAAAUUUAAUCAAAUCUUAUCAAAUCGAUUUAUAAAAUGAGAUUUGUAUAUAUAUAUAUGUUAUGAGGCUCGACCCGUUUCUUAAAUGAUGUAUAUAUAUUGGAUACACGUAUCAGACACUGACACUCAUAAUUUUAAAAAGAAGAAAUACAUUAAUCUUCUAAAAAUUCAUUGUAUACAAUUUUAUUAUGAUUAUAAAAAUAAAAUAAAAACAAAUCAUUUUAAACUAGUAAUGACAAACAUCUUUCUGUAAAAAAAAUCAAAACAUAUUUAUGCACAUAAAUAUUUAUUAUUGAUUUAUAUAAUUCAUAAUUAUACAAUAUAUAAAUUCGUAUUUCGUGUCCUCCAUUUUAGAGAUUAUACAUAUUUUUGUGUUCGUGUUGUAUACGCAGUAUAUAUUUCUUAAUACAUGAAUACAUGAAUAGUAUGAUUUAUUAGCAUUAUAAUCGAACAGUAUAAGCAACUAUAAUUAGAAUUGAUAAAAGAAUUGAUGGGCAAACAGAAACAUAAUUUAGUAAAAAAAAGUGGAAGAUAUGAUAGGAUGUGUGAUGAACAUGGUGAGAUAUGAGUAUAGCAUUGGUAUGGCUAAAUGUCAGCUUCAUAUUUGGUGAUGUAAAUAAAUAAUGUAGGAAGCAUUAUGUGUGUCGGUUAGGAAGAUGAAAAAAUGGGGAGAUGGAAAAUGGUGGGGUAGAGUGCAAGGUUGGUCUAUGAUGGGCUAAGGAAGUAAUUAGUUAAAGCAGAUAUAGAAAGGGCACCAUCCAAGCCUACAAAAAGUGUGUUCCAGAUAUGCAUUUUCCAUUAUAGUAUAUUAUAUCUUCACACAACAAGUAGAACUUCAACAAGUUGAAGAAGAAGAAGAAGAAGAAGUAGAACAGAAUCACUAUACCCUCUCUCUCUCUCUCUCUCUCCAUCUUCCCUUCCAGCUGGUAUGUACCCUCCAUUCCAUCUUUAUAUACCCUUUCUCUCCAUCUCUCAUUCUUCGUCCUUCUUCACAUUCUCUCUCUCUCUCUCUCUUUCUCUCUCAAUUCCUCUUCUUUCAGGUCUGUGCUCUUCAAUCUCACUGUCAUUCAUGCCUUUGCUUUAAUUUUGUUCUUCUCAAUUAAUGGUUUGGUGCAAAGUUUUUAGCUUUUCUUGCUUUUCACAUCUGAAUGUCAUUUUUGUCAAGUGGGUGCUUCUGAUUUUGGAUCAGCUACUCUAGAUCUGUCUCAUUCCCCUAUGGGGUUCAUGAAAUGAUUUGAACUCUGCCACUGUGUACUUCACUUCCCUAACUCACCUACAUUCACCAAGUUCGGAACUUUCUAAAGGAUUCGUUCACUUUGCCAUUGGGGCCAUGAUGUUUUUUUUAAAGAAAGAUAAAAUCUUUCAACUGUUAUUUCACUAGGGUCUCGAUCUUGAAUUUAGCAUUCAGAAUUUUACUCUUCUGGGACUCGCAUGCUGUCCUAAAUUUCACAUUUUUCACUGUUGUGAAGCAAAAGUAGCACAUUUUAAGUGUUCCUCGAUGGUACAUGUCAUGGUCCGAUCUGAAAUUCCCUCUGCUCAUUCUGGUUCAAUUUGCAUUUCUAGAUCUUGUGCAUUUCAUAUUCUGUUGAGUUUUUUCUUUUUGUUCGUGUAUGUUAACUUUUGUAAGAUCUGGCUGCAGCCAUUACUCUAGCUAUUAUUAGUAAGCUAUACACAACUUUUCAGUGAGAUGUAAAGAGAAGGUUUGGUGGUAAAAAUUAAAGGGUUUAUGAUUGUUUAUAAUGUUUAUUUAUUGGAGAUUGAGUUUGAACUUGGUGUUCAUUUUUAGCUGCAUUAUUUGACUUUUGCAAAAGGUGGGGUAGGUUUUGUUGAGAUGAGAUCUAAGUUCUAACUACUGUGGAGCUUUUUUUUUCUCACAGGAAUUUGGAGAGACUAUUGAUAUUGCAAGGGGAGGAUAAACCAGAAGGAAAAUAUGGAGUUUUCUAUGCUUUUCAUUGUCAGCAACAUUAUGCUGCUUCUCACUACAGCAUUUGCCAAAACUGCAAGUCCUUCAUCAUCACUGACCCCAACUCCAGCACCAGCACCAGCACCAGAUUUUGUGAACCUCACUGAGUUGCUCAGUGUUGCUGGUCCAUUUCACACCUUCCUUGGAUACCUGGAAUCCACCAAAGUGAUUGACACUUUCCAAAACCAAGCCAACAACACUGAAGAAGGAAUCACCAUCUUUGUUCCUAAGGACAGUGCCUUCACAUCUGCAAAGAAAUCUUCUCUAUCAAAACUCAAGUCUGAGGAGAUAAAGCAAGUGAUCCUCUUCCAUGCCUUGCCACAUUUCUAUUCUCUGUCUGACUUCAAAAAUCUCAGUGAAACCAGCUCUACUCCCACAUUUGCUGGAGGGGAUUACACUUUGAAUUUCACUGAUAAUUCUGGGACAGUGCUGAUUAGUUCAGGAUGGUCAAAAACCAAGGUGAGCAGUGCUGUUCAUGCCACAGAUCCUGUUGCUAUAUACCAAGUUGACAAGGUGCUACUUCCUGAGGCCAUUUUUGGCACUGAUAUACCUCCAGCACCUGCUCCAGCACCAACUCCUGAUGUUGCCCCAGCUGCAGAUUCUCCCACUGAACACAGUGCAGAUAGCAAAGCAUCCUCUCCAUCUUCUACACAUGAUGGCUCCUCUUCUCACAAGCUCAUCAGCUAUGGAAUCUGGGCCAACCUUGUCUUGGCAUCUUUUGGUGUGCUGGUGCUCUUCUGAUGAGACUCUUCCCAAUUGAAUAUUUAAUUUAGAUUAUGUUUAUGUAUCUACAUUUGGUGCACUUGCUUUGAUUUGAAUCCAUUUUUUUUGAACAUAAGUGUUAUUCAAUAUCUGUAUGAAUGUGAUUUCUGCUAUUAUACUUUUUUUUUUCAAAUCUCAUAGCAUGUGGUUGUCAUGUUAUGUGGUUGUUAUGUUAUCCCUGUAUACCUUUUUUGGAGAGUUUUAAUGCCAUCACUUCAAGUUAAAGUCUAUUCCCUGAAAAUGAUAAUGAAUUGGCCGAUUUACAAGAAGGAAAAUGAUACUUUGAUUUACAAUUUUUGUAACUUUUGUAUAAGAAACUGGAUUAAAAAUGAAGAAAUUUUCCAGCUGGUGAAGACCAUGAAUUUUUGCUAUCUUUGUGGCAUGUGACAAGAGAUGCGGUUUUGUUAAACAAUAACUGAUGAUAUUAAUAGCAUUUGUUUUUGGUCCUUCACAGCUAUCAGCUGCGUUGCGAUUGGCCCAUUAAAGAAUAAAAAAUGCAUAGCAAGUAAAAUUUUCCGUUGCAAACUUGCCCUGCUGGGUUUAGUAAAUAUCAUUGAUUAAAGUUGAUAGUUCCGUGACGAAAAAGAAAGCUUUUGAUGAUUAUGAGAUGCUGAAGUAAUCUUGGCCAACAGAUCUUUGCAAUGUCAUCUUCAAAAUAAUUACAAAGAUAAUAAGAAAGUGGUUACUUUCUAUAAUUUUUUUUAAAAUUACACAUAGAAUAAAAAUUAUAAAGAUUAUAAGAUUAUGAUAUAUUGAUUAAAGAUUAUGAUAUUUUAUAACGUAUAAAUAAAUGUAAAUUUUAUACACAUCGGAUCGGUACGAUUGAUUCGAAGUCUAAAACCCGGUCAAAAUCAACCAAGUAAUUAUCCACAAACAAAUGGUUAAUGAGACUAAUCAAAGAUCAAACAUUAAAUAAUAUAUAUUGUAGAUUUAAUUCUUAGUCAGAUCCAAUAAUAAAAGGUCCAUAAUAAAUUAUAUAAAUAAAUACAAAUUUCAAUCAUUCAUAUAGUACUAAAUACAUUGGGUGCUGAGUGUCGAAGUCUGAUUUUAACGUCAGAGUGUCUUUUACGGGUACCUCUAUUAAUUUUAUAAAAUUAAGUUAAAUUUAAAGUUCACUUCUUAAUAUGAUAUCAUAAUUAUUUUAAAUUUAUCAUAAUCAGAAUUUAUCAGACUUAUACAAUCACUUUCUAUUCUAUUAGAUCAUUAUCGAAAAUAUAUAGUUCAACUCUACUUCUUAAUAUUCAGGUCUACACAAAUUCAAUAACAUGUUAAUACCAUAUGAGAGGUGACUCAAACUCUGAAUAAAAAUAAUCAAGGUUGAUGAUGAAAGGCUAUAACAGCAUGCGUUGAGCUUUCUUCAUGAAUACACUUGUUGAGGUGAAAUUUAAUGUAGUUUUUUGGUGACUUAAUUUUGAAAUUUGUAUUCCUUUAUACUCUUUGAAGAUUGCACAAGGGGUUUGUUUGAACUGUGUUGUGUUGCAUAUAAUGAUGUCUUUGGUCUCAUUUUGGGGUCUUUAUGAGUGUCAAUGAUAAAAAAUAAUAAUUAUACAUAUCGACUCAAAAAUUACUGUGAAAAACACCAAUAGAAUAAAUUUAAAUCUAAUUUACAUCCUAAAAAAUAUAGUCUUUGUGAUUCGUGGAGGAAUAUUGACUAAGUAUCAAGUUGGUGUAAGAAGAAGUAACCCAUAACAAUCUAAAAAUAAUAAUUUCUAUCAAUAUUAUAUGAUAAAUACGAUUUCAUAUAAUAUUUAAAUUUUUAAAUAUAAUUAUAUUAUUUUUUGUUAUUUUUUAUUUUUAUUUUUUUAUGUACUAUAUAAAUAUAAUACUUAAUAAUGUAAGUGUGUAAUAAUUAUUGAUUAAUAAAAUAUAUAAUUUUCUUUUCUACUUUUUUUUCUUCUAUUAAACUAAUAAAUAUAUAAUAAUAAUUCUAACAUUGUUUAGAUUUUAGUCAAACAUUAAUGCCAGAAUUAAAAUUAAGUUAAGCUCACGACACUUGUAAGACACGUAUCAGUGAAAUAUCCAAUUAAAAAAAAAUUGUUGAAUUUUUGCAAUUUUAACACGGUUCUAACACUAUUUUAAAAAGAAAAAAAUACAUUAAUUUUCUAAAAACUUAAAUUUAUUAUAUAAAAAUUUAUUAUGAUUAUAAAAAUAAGAAACAAAUAUUUUUUUGAACCAGCUAUGAGAAACAUCUGUAUGCUAUAACAAAAAACUGAAUGUACAUAAAUCUUUAUUAUAAAUUUAUAUAAUUCAUAAUUAUAUAAUAUAUUAAUUAGUGUGACAUAUUCUACAUUUUAAAAAUUAUAUGUAUCUCUGUGUCCAUAUCUCUGUGUCCAUAUUCAUAUCGUAUGAGUGUUCAUAUUAGGGUAUAUGUUACCUGUAUCGUAAACAUUAUCCAAUCCAUUUUACACGUAAAAAGUUAAAUGUUAAUUUGAAGGACUACGAAAAAAAAAAAUAUUGAAACAAUAUUUUAAAAUAAUCGGUGUUUUUAAUGUUAGCAUUGGUCGGUUAGAGUUAAUGCGAAAGCAGAUUGCGUGUGAAAGUAAGGGAUGGACCAUAAGGUAUCACUAAGUUCUGCAAUUUUAUUUUUUCACUAUCUUCAUUCCCUAACUAUAACAUGCUUCUAGUUUAACAUCACAUUAAAAAAAAAAAAAAGUUUCGAAUUGUUGUUUAUGUUUAUAUGUACUUUUCGGAAACAUAUAUUCUAACAAGUUUUCUUUUGGUUUUUGUUUUUGGAUAAAUAGACAUUUGAUACCUUGUUCUCAAAGACAAACCUGUGAAUUGUUAAGCGUUGGAGUAUAUCUCAAGGAAAGCAGGAAUAAAUGUCGUACGAGGAGGUUAUACUUUUUAUUUUUAAUUUUUAUAAUGACACGUAGGUAUUAUUUUUUAUUAUUUUUAACAAAUAAAUACUAAAAAGUACUUGUAUCUGUUGGGUCCGUAUGACACCUGGAAUUUCGACAUCCAGUCAAGACUGACCGACAUAACCAAAACCCUUAAGUUCAAACAAAAUAUUAACGAAACUAAUCAGUGAUUAAACAUUAGGUAAUAUACUUUUGAUCAUGACCAAAAUUCCUAAUCAGACCCAUAUAAAUAGACACAAAUUCAAAAAAAUCAGGUACUUUAUUAUCCCAUGUUAAUAACAACGAGUGUCGAACACCGCAUUUUUGUUUGAGCGUCUAAGUGACUUUUGCAUGUAUCAUCCAAACCGAGAGUUCACGAAGACGAAAAGUGGAGAAGUGCAAGAAGGACAAGGUGACCAUUUUAGAAGGAAAAAUAGACCUACCAAUCGACAAUAAAGAAAGACAAUAAUUUGUUUGAACACUGACACGACACGGAUACGGACACGGAGAUACGUAUAAUUUCUAAAAUGUAGGACACGGGGACACAAAUCUAUAUAUUAUAUAAAUUGAAAAUAAAUAUUUAUGUGUAAAAGUAUGUUUCAGAUUCUUUUGGGAGCAUGAAUAUAUUUUUCAUAACUGGUUCAAAAGAAUUUGUUCCUUAUAUUUAUAAUCAUAAUAAAAAUUUAUACAAUAAAUUUGAGUUUUUAGAAAAUUAUUGUAUUUAUACUUUUUAAAAUUGUAUUAAAACCGUGCUAGAAUUUUCAAAAAUCCAACAAAUAUUGUUUGAAUUGAACACUUCACUGAUAAAUGUCCUACGAGUGUCGACGUGUGUCCGACACGGAUACGCCCAUUUAAGAGAAGUGUCUGAUCCUCAUAGAUUACAACCCGUCCGAAAAUAAUACUAUUUUUUAUAAUCCAUUUCAAUAUUAAUUUAUUGUAGGAAGAUUAAUUUGUUAAUAAAAGAGAUGAAUUAAAAUAAUUGUUUAGCAUUAUUUAAAAUUUGAAAAAGGUGUAUAAUUGAUUUUCUUUGAGGGAAAAAAAGUAGUAGAAAAGCGACAAAAGAAAAGAACCAAAAGAGGAAGAAAGUGAAGAAAAGAGGAGUGUGAAGUGAUGCCAGGUGUCACUGUUGUUUAAUAUUGAGGGAAAUAGAAAAGCAUCGUAACGUUUGAUUUGAUUAUUUGCGUUCCAUUCCCUUUGUCUUCGCGGGUCCUUUCGCCAACACGUUUUUUUCUCCCCACCCCAUUUCCUCUUUCGCGCAUUCAAACAAACACCUCUCUUUCUCUCUCUCUCUCUCUCUCUCUGUCUGAAGAAGAAGAAGAAGAAGAAAGAAACCAAAACGAUGACGAAACCUUCGAAUCUCUCUCUCCUUUUCUGACUCUCUAAGGUACUUUUCUCAAUUCUCAUUUCUCAAUCGUUUCCUGUGUUGUCGUAAUCUCCCCUUGGAUCCGUGUGAUUGGAUAUUCACGCAUAUUUCAUUGGAUUCCGAAUGCGGUAUCUAUAUUGGCUAAUGAACGUUUCAUUUCGUGUGUUUUGUGUCAGUGUUAUUCCAGUGUUUAUUGUUUUUCUCCAACAUAGUCAAACAUGUCUAGUUUCGUCGGCGUCCUUGUUUCUGAUCAAGAGCUUCAGAGCCAGUUCACUCAAGUCGAACUUCGAACCCUCAAAUCCAAGGUCUGUUGUAUUUUCUUCCUUCUUCUGUUGUUUUUCGUCGAAACCGCAAUCUCGGACUCAAACGCGCCUUCUGUGUAUUGCGUUCGUUUAGUAUGUGUCGGAAAGGACUCAAUCGGGACGUGUUACUGUCGGAGAUUUGCCAUCUAUUUUUAAGAAAUUGAAGACUUUUUCUGAAAUCUUCACCGAGGAUGAGAUUAAAGCUUCUUUGGCAGAGUCGUAUGGCAACAUGGAUGAAGAAAUUGAUUUCGAGUCCUUCUUAAGGGUGAGUUUUUAUUUUGCCUCCGGAAAAGUUAAAGGCUAUGCUCCUACAUGUUCAUGUGUUUCUUAAUUUAGUUUCUACAUGUUUGUAAGAAUGACCUUUUGAUUGCUUUCUCAAAGAAAUUUUUGGAUAAUAAACGUUACAAUGUCAUUUGAUGUUCAAAUUGCCUCUUCGUGUAUGUGCACUUAACAUGACACGAAGUUGUGAUUUUGUUUUGUUUUAAUUUUAAAUAUCUGCGUGAGCUGGUAUAUACUAAUUUGUUUAUGAGUAAUUUUGUAGGUAUUAAUUAUAUUUAUAUUUACAUUGGACAUAGCAAUUUAAUCAGGGACAUUGAAUGACAGGUGCAUUUAAAUCUGCAUGCCCAAGCAAUAGCUAAAGAUGGUGGUACAAGAAGUUCUUCUUCAUUUUUGAAGGCAGCUACAACAACUGUUCAUCAUGCAAUUAAUGAAUCCGAGAAAGCUUCUUAUGUCGCACAUAUUAACAACUGCUUGGCUGAAGAUAAAUUCCUGGGUCAGUUUCUUCCAAUUGAUCCAUCAACAGAUGCAUUGUUUGAUCUUGCAAAAGAUGGAGUCCUUCUAUGGUAGUGUUCGUUCAUCAAUAUCAGCUCAUUUAAAGCAAAUUAUCUCCCCUUUCUUCCACCCUGACUUCGUUGUUUAUUUUAUUGCUCCAGCAAGCUUAUUAAUGUUGCUGUUCCUGGGACCAUAGAUGAGCGAGCUAUUAACACAAAAAAAAUUCUUAAUCCAUGGGAAAGGAAUGAGAACCAUACCCUUGGCCUGAAUUCAGCCAAGGCUAUUGGGUGCACAGUGGUCAAUAUUGGUACACAGGAUCUAGUUGAAGGAAGAGUAGGGUUAAUCCUUCUUUUUCCCUUCUCUUCAUGUUUCCAGAUUCCUUUAUUUCAUUCGACAGACUUUAACUCAUUUUAUUUUUUAAAAUUUUCCUGUUUGAUUAUUUGUAGCCCCAUCUGCUACUUGGUCUGAUUUCACAAGUACUUAAGGUAAACUACUGAAACAUGUCCCCCUCCUUCCUUAAUAUGGAACUCAGAUAAGGAGGUUGACACCAUAAUGAGUUGAUUAUUAUUCAUUGGUAACACGUGUAAACUUAUGCUAUCCUUUUUGUUUGUUUGACUUUUCAUUAUGGUGGCAACAUUAGAUUCAACUGUUAGCUGAUCUCAAUCUGAAGAAAACUCCUCAACUUGUGGAAUUAGUGGAAGAUGACAAGGUGAUACUGGAUAAUAUUGUUCCUUUUAUUUGUAGUUUACAAAGUACAAUGGUUUUUUCUUUCCUUUACAUGUCAGAAAUGUGAUUGAAAUAACCCACUGUAUUAUAUUGUAACAUGCUGGCAGGAGGUGGAGGAGCUUAUCAGUUUAGCACCCGAAAAGGUUUUACUGAAAUGGAUGAAUUUCCACUUGAAGAAAGCUGGAUAUGAGAAAGAAGUUACAAACUUCUCUUCUGACCUAAAGGUGAGGGAAAUUCUUAUUAACUUUGCAUGCUGACUUACUCUAGUACAAUUGUUAUCCAGUAUUCCUUGUUAGGAACCUUUUCUUAUACCCAACACUGCCUUUAUUUUAUGCCUUUUAAAUCAGUAAAGAAACUGCAGACCUUCUUGCUGUUGGCCUUGACAACCAUAGACUAGUUUUCAAGGAAAAGAAUCACUGUACUGCUCUACAUCAUGUCAAUUGCUGAAUCAUUCUGUGGCUAGUUUUUUUACGUGCCUGGCAGAUAUUUUCAUAGAGAGAUAUAAUAUGAUUAUAAGUUGCAUGUGUCUAUCAUAUAUACAAUAUCUUCUUUUUGCAGGAUGGAGAGGCUUAUGCUUACUUGCUUAAUGCUCUUGCCCCAGAAGUGGCUGGCCCAUCUGCCCUAACCACAAGUGAUCCAACAGAAAGGGCUAACAUGGUUCUUGAGCAGGCAGAGAGAUUAGAUUGCAAGAGAUACCUCACUCCAAAGGACAUAGUGGAGGGAUCACCUAAUCUUAAUCUUGCAUUUGUUGCUCAAAUUUUCCAGCAUAGGUAUGGUUAGUUAAAGAGGUUGCAAUAUGCUAACGAUUUCAUUGAAAAUUCAUGCAAUAAGAACUGAUUCAGAUUGUAAGUUUCAUUUAACCAAAUCCAAUAUCUCUUUUACUUGUACUUUUGUAGGAAUGGUCUUACAACAGUUGACAGUCAGAAGAUGUCCUUUGCUGAGAUGAUGACUGAUGAUGCAGAGACAUCUCGGGAAGAACGAUGCUUCAGACUAUGGAUUAACAGUCUUGGAAUUGCCACUUAUGUCAAUAAUGUUUUUGAGGAUGUCAGAAAUGGGCAAGUUUUUCCAUUGUUCAGUUGGCUCACCAUCUGCGUCUUCUGUUUUAGUAUCAUUUCUGUUUUCAACUUAUGUCAUCUUUUAAUAUUUUCUUUAACCUUUAUCGAUUGUGAUUGUCCUUAUUUCCUUUUAUGCAGAUGGGUUCUAUUAGAAGUUCUUGACAAGGUUUCACCAGGAUCUGUCAAUUGGAAGCUGGCCACAAAGCCUCCAAUUAAGAUGCCAUUCAGAAAAGUUGAGAAUUGCAACCAAGUUAUAAAGAUUGGGAAGGACCUAAACUUUUCAUUAGUGAAUGUUGCUGGCAAUGAUAUUGUACAAGGGAAUAAGAAGCUCUUACUGGGUGAGUGUCAUUUUAUCCCUGUUUUGUGAUGAUUUCUUAUAGGUAGAGAACAAUUUAUAAUUGUGUAGUGGGUUUCCUAUCUUUUAACAUCUGCUUGAAUUCUGUUCUGUCAUCAUUCAUCGGGUAUUUUUUUGGGUAUAUUCAUUACUUUAUACUGAUAUUCUAACAUUUUGAUUUGUCAUUAUUUUGUUCAAAAUCUGCCUAAUUAUAUGUAUAGGGAAUAUUCAUCUCCUUUUUUUUUGUCCCCAGCAUUUUUGUGGCAGCUAAUGAGGUUUACUAUGCUUCAACUUCUGAGAAAUUUGCGAUCUCACUCCCAAGGCAAAGAGAUUACCGAUGCUGAUAUUCUAAACUGGGCAAACAAUAAAGUGAAAAAAGCAGGAAGAACUUCCCAAAUGGACAGUUUCAAGGUAUAGAACCAUCUAUUGAGAGUUAUGUGUGUGGGUGUGUGAUUAUACAAUUCUUGGUACUAUUAAUUUUACAUUUGUUUGUACUGCUCAUGUUUGUUGCGAAAUCACAGGAAUCUGUUAUCAAUAGUAUUAGAAGUAAUUUUACAAGGCUUUCGAAUGAAAAAAAGAUUGUUCAGUUUUUAUGAAGGAACAAUGUGUUCGAUGGUUGCUUUGAUUUGGACUACAGUUCAUUGUUAAUGUUUAUGUAUUCUGCUUCACCAGGAUAAGAAUCUUUCCAGUGGCGUGUUCUUCCUUGAGCUUUUGAGUGCUGUGGAGCCAAGGGUUGUCAACUGGAGUCUUGUUACUAAAGGGGAAACUGGUAUUCCGACUGAGAAUUUAUGCUUCUAGAAUUCUGUCUAGAACUCUUUAAUUUCUCAUCAAUCAUUAUAUUUGAUAUUAAUGUGAAGAGAAUAUUUUACCUUAUGGCAAAAAUUGGAAAUUUUAAAUUAUUCUGUCUUGAAUUGCAGAUGAAGAUAAGAAGUUGAAUGCAACAUAUAUAAUCAGUGUUGCCCGAAAACUUGGGUGUUCCAUUUUUCUGUUACCUGAAGACAUAAUAGAGGUAAGUUCCUAGAUGUUUUAAACAUAAUUUUGCCAGUAAUUAUGCCAAUUGCCUGUGAAAAGGGCAGUUUUGAUUUAAUAGGUUGCUGUUUCCUGUUAUUAUUCUUUUAUAGAUGAAAAUAAUAACAGAAUCGAUCACAUAAUAACAGAAUAAUAUAAACUAUGAGCUAAGUCUGUUACACUCAACACAACACUGGAUAUUAGUAAAUCUUGCAUAUUUGUUAUAUUAGUGCUUACCUAUUCCACCAGACAUUUUAUCUGUCCUUUAUUUGGCUAAGAAAUUUGAUGUCCAACUCUCCUUUAUCUUGCAUUUAACCUUGACAGGUGAACCAGAAGAUGAUACUCAUUUUAGCUGCUAGCAUAAUGUACUGGAGCCUGAAGAAACCUGAAGAACACUUCCACCGUGAAUCAGCACCUGUAACUCCGGCGGAAAGUGAAAACGAAAAGGAUGAUACUGCUUCGGAGAAUGCCAGCACUCCCUAAGUCAGAAAGGUUGAAGAAAACCAUAUCCAAUGGAGAAUGAGUGGACACAAAACACAAUUUUGUUUAUAGAACUAAAAGAAGAUGCCAACCUCUUGGUUCCCUGUUCCAAAGAAAGCUUAUUGUUUAUUAUGAAAAACCACAGAUAAUAAGGAUCUUGUAAAUUCUUAUUUUAGAUUAUUUUGUACUUAGGCAUAUUCUUUGAUGAAAAUUGCAUGCAAGAUUUCCCAAUAAUAAUAUGGGAGGAAGGCAUCGUUUUGUUUUCCGUCCAAAUUUAACAUUAUUUUUAAUGCUUGCAUGCAGAUACGGAUUCAAGGAACCAGUGAUUAUUUAUGCGCUUUAUUUUACUAAUGCGAAUCUUUUGUCUCCAAUCGUUUUCCCCUUCCAUAAUAUUAACGUAUUUAGUUGAUAUAAUAAGUUUCAGCAUAAUUUUAUUUUUAAUGACAAAAUUUAAAUUUCAGUACCACGAAAUUUUAAUUCUUUUCAAAUCUUUAUUUUAUUUGUGUUUUUUUAGUUUUUAAAGUUAUAAAAAUGACGUGUUUCAUAAGACAGGACAUAUUUCCUCUGAACUUGUUUGCCAUUAAUAAAAAAGUUGGUGAGUAAAAUGUUCUAAAGCUAUAUUAUUAGAAGAACACAAAUAGGGUACCUUUUUUUAGUUGAUCUUUGCAAUUUUCAUCGACCGUCAUUAUGAACACAAGUACUUAAUCGAUGUUGAUUGUUGAACCAAACACAUGAACAUAUAUAGUUGUAAAUUCGCAGAGACGCAGACUCCAAAAAAGAAAAUGAACAAAUUAAUGUCUUCAUUCAAAUUCAUCCCAUGGUAGUCCAUCUUUGCUUAUCAACUCAUCAUUAGAUAAAAAGUUGCAAUCGACUCCACCAUACAAAAUUUUAUUUGUAUUAUUAUUAUUAGGAUUACCCUUUAAAUAAGAUUUUAGAUUUAGAAUAUUUGAAUGUGAAAUCUUUCUUAAGGAGUGGGUAGAACAAAUAUCAAUAUUUGAAUAUGAACUAGGCAAUUUGAUUGUCCAGAAUUAAGAAGUAGAAAGAAAUUGAAUCAGAAGAUGGCAAACAACAUGAACCACGUGAAUGCAUUUAUUCAUACAAGCCGUAAUAAUAAAAUACUUUUAAUCUAGAAAGCUCAAACAUGUCUCUUAAAUAGUGUGUUACAUGUCUCUUAAAUGGUGUGUACAUGUCAGAUACUAACACUCGUAUAAUACGUAUAGAAUAUGAUGAAAUGUCAAAUUUAAAAAAUAUUUGUUAGAUUUCUGACAAUUCUAACAUAACUCUAAUAAAUUUUAAAAAAAUAAAUACAUUGAUUUUUUAAAAACUUAAUUUAUUAUAUAAAUUUAAGAAUGAUUUUUUUGAAUAUUCAUUCAUGCUAUAUAGCUUUUAAUAUUCAUUCAUUCACUCCUAUUCAACGUUGCUAACUCAGGAAAUUUGAUAGUUCUUUUUCUCCUGUGCAAGAAAACGCAUUCAACUUGAUGAAACUAAUCCCUUUAAUAAAACAUUCUGAUUAAACAAAGAGCUUAAUCAAUAAUAGUCCAUAAGAUGAUUUUUGUAAUAUAGGAAACACCACCAUCCUUAAUUUAAUCUAAAUAACAUAAUUCAAUUAUUAGAGAAUAAUAUAACUGAAGAGGGGUGAACUUUGAUGGUGAUAGAAAUUACAAGAUUAAUUAAUAUAUUAUGAUGUCCAUAUCAAAAUUUACACUUAUGAUCUACAAACAACCUGAAAUUGAACAGGGCUUGUGUCAUGAUGCCCCGAGGGCGAUACCAUUUGAGAUUAAAUUAGAAAAACAAAGGUACCAAAAAAAAAAACAGAAAGACAACAAAGCUAAUGCUAUUUGUCACUCGCUCUAAGGGAAUUUAACCGUCUAAUCCUCUGAUCAAGCUCCUUCAUCACUUCAGGUUCUUGUUUCUUCCUUUGCUUAGAUAUUGUGUUUGUUGUCAUUGAUCCAAUCUUAUCAAAUGCCACCUGCAACCACAAUCAAACUUUCAUUCAACAACCUUUGUGUGAAUCUUCCUUGAAGGUUUCCCUUCUUCUGAAAACAUGCAAACCAUUCAGUGGAGAUAGUAAAACUUGUCUUACUGUCAAUAGAUCGUCUGGAUCAAAUAGGUGAUGAGUGGUCAUCUGCAGAAUGUUGAUCACUUCGCCAACAUGAUGGGUUAGACUCAACUCAUUUUCCUUCAUCUGCAAUUGAGACUCACCAUUGUUGAAACAUCCUUUCCAAUGUACCAUAUUCUUUAUAUUUCGAUAAAAAAAUCAAGAAAGAACAAAAGGGCUACAAUAUUUUCUUUUUUUAAAUAAUAUUUUUUUCAUGUGAUGACAGAUGAUUGUUCUUACUUAAGGUGUCAGCCUAGCUGAAAUGUCAAGUUUCCCAGUAAUGUCUAACAUGAAAGUUUUUAUAUAAAAAAAAAACAAAAGGGCUACGAUAGUGGUACCUUAAAGAUCGCUAGGGCCACGUUAAAUAUAACCUUGGCACCCUCAUAGAAGAUAACAUCCCACACUCGAAGAGUUGUCUGAUUCAUGGAGGAAGUAUUAAUAUGAGGAACAAUUUAACAUUUUGAUGUAGAAUUUAUUGCCCCAUUAUUCUAACCUCGGAAGGCAGGCUUUUGGAGAAGAGGCAGAGGAACCACUCGGUGGCAACAAGGGAAACAUCGAAUUCCAAAGAUUCUAAAUGACUCGCAAUCCUGCAUUUCCAUUACUGCGGUUUUCAGAAGGUGCUAGGAAUCAAACAUGUAUGAUACACAGUUAAAACAUCAUAUACAAAUACCUUGGACACUUUUUAGCUAGUAAAUCUUUGAACACUCUUUGUUCCACAUGGCAUCCUGACAAGUUGUUUGUGUAACAGUCAUUAACCAGGACAUUUUCCAACAAGACAGCAAGCAUCCAAAAUGCAUCUUCUUCUGUCUUCAUGACAAGCAACAACAAUGCUGCAACGUAGUUUAAUCCCUGCAGCAGUAAUGUAGUAGAGUUAGCAAUUGAUAAAAUAUUUACCCAAGUAUGCAUUCAAUAUUUUUAAUUUUCAAGUAAAAAGUGUUAUGAAGAAACUUCGUGGUGCUAUGUUUUACCUACUAUGAGGUCAUGGGCCAAUCUCGAUAAUAGAGUGAAACGGCUCGGAAGCCGAUCUAUAGAGUUAAUGGAAGGGAUCUCAUUUACUCUUCUUAAAGAAGAGAGGGCGUUAAUGAAGAUAAUUGGUUGGAUAUGCGGCAUAGAGAAUAAUGAUGGAAUAAGAGUUGGAAAGAAUACUAGAUACAAGGAAGGACCUAGUAUAAGGGAGAAGGGAGACUAUUCGAGCUGGAAACCAUUGUUUCUGGUUAAACUAUAUGCUAUAGAUUGAGAGGCAUCCCUCUUGGCUACAACACCUACCUUGAAAUUUUCAAGACAUAAAAUACAGUGGCUGAAGCAGUUGAGAAAAAUAAAUGUAGGAACAACAUAGAAACUAAUACCUGCUUCAGUCACACCAUGUCGUUAAUUUACAAGAGUGAGGGUUGAGAGGGAACAAAAGAAUAUUCAACCAGCAUGUUGCUAAUUUGUGAACAUAUCACAUCUAAUCACGGAGAAAAAGAACAAAAGAAACGGUUUUUGUUCAAAUCGAGAAGCAUUUAUUGAAUGAAAAAGGAAGCCACAUACAAAGGUAGGUAAUAUCAAAUUUAUAUUCAUAACAAGUCAGAUUUUUGUCUUUCAUGCACUGAGAAGAGAGAAACUACUUCAAAAGAAAGAACAGAGCAAACCCACCUGACAAUACCCAACAUCAGAAUCCCUGAAGGAAUAAGCAACAAGAACACGCCUGAGAGUAGCAUGCCCCUCAGGAGUGUCCAGCCACGGGUGGCCAGGGAAGGUUCGUGGUAGGUCCUGCAAACAUGCUUAUGAAAUUAUUAGAAACAGAAUAAAUGUAAUGAGCAUCAUAAGCAGUGGACAUGUUCAAAUUAUUUCACACAAAAAUCAAUAAUCAAACAUCAUUUUAAGGAUAGCAUCCAACACCCUGAUGAAAGCUGUGUUUCCAAAACCAUGAACUGCACAUUGUUUAUUAAGUAGAUAAACAGCAUCCACCUCCCAACAAAUUACAGCCCUACACAAACUUCAUCUCUAAUCUUUGACUACCAAGGAUCACACAAAUUCCCAUCUCUUUCUGAUCAGAGUUUACUCAAAGCUUCAUUUUGCCUCAUCUAAAUUUUGUGCACUCCUGAGGGGUAUGCUAUCCUUAUACAACAUCCACAUGUAAAUUAUUGAAAUGGGAUAUACCAAUAGGGCUCAAGGAUCCUAUAAUUGUAAAGGUUACAAACAUCGGGCUAACAAAUGCUUCAAUUCCUACAGAUCUUCCUUACCUCUCAAUAUCCUCAAUAAAUAAUAAAUUUUACUCAUAGGGGAAAAACACAAAAGCAACAUAGACAAUCAUUCAUCUAAAUCUGCAGCAAAUUUGUCUGAAAUUUUCUUAUGAAGACACAGCAAAGUCCAUCAAAUUCAUUUGAAAAUGAUCCACACAGCUGCAGGCACUUGUCAAAUAAAAGGCAACCAAACAAGCCAGAAGGACGAUGAUGCCCAGAACCAUAAUAAAGAAACUUGUAAUCAAAUUCAAAACCAAACCCAACUGUGUGUGAUGAUCAUAAAAAGAAAGGGGUGAGCUCCUCACAUGAUCUAUCUGUCGUGUAGCAGGGGUGACCUUCCCAUCCACUGCUUUGGUCAAAUCAUCAUAAUAACUGUCAGGCACGGUGGACUUUUUCUUGGCUGCCCCUGACAAGGAAAACCAAAUCUUAGGCCUAAGAACUGGGGGUAUCCCCUUCCUGAUCAACUUCUUCAACGUGAUAGCAUUAGUCAUAGCUGAGAAUUUCAAGGAGGACGUGAGGGCACUGCCUUGCCCGAUGGUAGUGUGCAGAUACCAAUUCGCCCCCUUGCUGGCCUCCAAUGCCCACCAAACUCUUCCCUGUUGCCUCACCUUCUCCCUUACCUCAUUCAACACAUUCACAUCAUCCACAUUCCCUUCCACAGUGAAUCCAUAAAGGUCUUGGAAUUUCACAGUCAGAUUUGCCCUCCUGGAAUGGAUGCUGGGCCUCAAAACUGCAACCUGAGAUUGGUACUCAAAGGCAAGGUCAAUUUUGCUUUUGGUCCCGUACAUUUUUUCCUGUGUCAGAUCAAGAAAGAUGGCCACAACAAAGGGGCUGGGCUUGGCUUGGCUUUGCUUCGGUGUUCAGAAUCGGUUGUCUUAUGAAUUGGGAAAAGGAAGGACCUUGUCAAAUAAGAAAAUCACCCACUAGUCUGAAACCGUGAAAUGGUCCAUUCCAAGGACCUGGGUAAUCGAGAUUAGGUGAGGAGAAGCCGCAAAGUUGUCCGAACAAAAUGGGUGCAACAAGAUUUGGGGAAAGAGGGGUUUGAGUCAGAAAUCAUAACCAAAGGGAAAAACUUUGAAAGACCCUUUCUGCAUCCUGGAGAAAGCCUGACACUUUGAUGUACCUAGCUCAAAUAUCUCGGGUGAAUCUAUCAAAAACACACAAUAAACGUGAAUUGUGGACAGAAAAAAAAAAGGGGUUUGAAUAUUCAAGCAAAAGGGAUAAGAUGAGAACCAGGUCGGAAAGAAAAUAGAAAAAAAAAAUCAAAAAAAAGGGAAAAAAAUGAAAAAAAAAAACUUGAAAUCCUUUAAGAUGAAUGCAAGAUAGAGAGAGAAAGGAUGAGAAAAAGUGAGUUCCUGAAAUGGGUAAGAAGAUGAACAAAGGAAUGGACUAUAAAAACAGGAAGAAGAAAAAAAGGCUGGAAUUUAGGAAGAAUAUUUGCAUAGAAAGAAUGUAAAAACAGAACGGAGAAAUAGGGACACUGCCUCUCGCCUCCUCCUCUGCUACAACCGAUCUUUCUCUUCUUUCAUCUUUUUUCUCACUCAUUUCAAUUUCACCAUUUUCAUAUAUUAUAUUUAUUAUAAAAUUUUUAAAAAAAAUUAUUAUAACGUUCAAGAUGUUCAUUAGGGUGAAUGGACUAAAAUGCAUAAUUAAUGAAAAAAAAAAAGGUUUAAACAAGUUCAGUGACUCUGGCACACUUUUCAAAUUUUGGAGAUAAUGUCUAGUGUCUUUUUCUUAUACCUCUGUUGCAUAAUUUUAUCCUCUUUAAUUUUUGAUUUUUUUUAAUAUUAAAUCAAUAGUUCUGAAUUCUUUCUGAUAUUUUUUAUUUUUUAUGGUAAGUAUUGAACGUAUAUAUUGUAAUUCAGGCAAUUCAAUGCAUUUUUUAUUAAUUUUUUCUCAAGAAAAUAUAAGGAUUUGUAGAAAGAUAUACAUAUAUAUAUAUAUAUAUAUAUAAUCAAUUCUUUCUGUAGUGAAAUUAAAAAUUUAAAUACUUAUAUAUCUCAAAUGGAGUAAUGAUAGUGUAUUUGUGGGAAAUCUAUUUAAACCUAAGUAUAUUUAAUGAUGUUUCUUUUUUCUGUUUUGUUUAACUUAUCAUCAUGUUAUAAAUGAUAUUGUCUAUCAAAUAUGACAUUAUUUUUUUGGAGAAGUUUCAACUCAAAUCAAUGUAUUGAUAGUAAAAAAAACAUUUUAAGAACCUUUCAAGUUGUGUCAAAUUUAUAAAUUAGUCUUUACAAAAAUAUAUUUAAAGCUAUAAAGUUGAAAUAUUCAAGGAUGAUAAACGUAACCACGUUUUUAAAUUGCGAAAUUACUUUAUUUAUUCAGAAAUCUCUGUUGGAGCAAAUUCAAAAAAGUUAGGAACAUGGACAUCAAUUAUAAAGAAAUAUAAGAAAAAAUUAUCCUUGUGAUAGAAAAAAAAUUGUAAAAACAUUGCUAUCAUCAUAUAAUUAAUGAAAAAACUCUUUAUCUUUUUUAUUUUUGAAGAGUUUAUAAGAAAAUGUCUUAAUGGAGUUAUAGUGCAAUCAAUUUAUUCGGUGACAACUAUUAAAUUAGUUUAUAAAUGAAGAAAGAUUAGUUAUGUGAGUGAGAUUUUGGGGUGUUGUAUUAAGAGGAAUUAAAGAAUGAAAGUGAAGUUUGAAUGUAUUAUAACGUUUAUAAAUUUAAAUUUAAAUUGGAAUAAAAGUAAAAUUGAGUGAAUAUAAGUAAUUAAUUGAAAUUAGGUUGUGGUGAAAGUAACAAUAAUUAAAAUAAGGGUGCAGUUAUGAGCAAUUAGUUUUAAUUAUAAAGUCAAAAGGAUGAUUAGUAAGAAGGAAUAGUUCAAAAUUUGAAUGCAUCACGUUACAAGGAUUGCUCAAUACGAUUUCCCAGAACGUGCAGAGUGUCAACAAAAUCUUUUCAAUUUUUUAUAGUGCCACAGUAAGUCGUGCCAAUGACUCUGCUGCUGAUGAUCAAAUUAAAAAAAUGAAAACAAAAAACAUUAGCAAUCAAACGUCUACACAAGUGUAUGAUUUUUAAUAUUCUAUUUAUGUGUAAUAUUAUAUUUAUGGACUGAGUGACCGAUCUUAUACAAGAUAAAUGAUCAUCGUACUUUUUAAGUUCUAUUAACUUAUGUUAGAGACUGGAGACUGUGGGAUCAUGGAUUGAUCUGUUACAAGAUAGACUAUUUAUGAGCUUUCAAAGUCUUAUUGGUUUACGUCAAAGGUUAGGAAUUUUAUGAUCAUGGACCGAGUCCGAGUCCAGUAAUAUUGUUGAGUGACUUAUUUCCAACCACGAUAUUUAUAAGAACUUGUAUUUACUUCCAGAUAGGAACGAGGUUACUGGAUUCAUGGAAUUAGACGAAUACUCAUGAAAGUUAAAUGCGAGUAAGAAACAAAAACAAACUACCUAGGUUAAAAGAAAAUAAGACCGAUUUGUGAGACACAAACUAAGACUAUAAAUCACUUUUGCUAGUUUAUUUGUAUGUUUUAAGAAUGAGACAUGUCUCUUAACUAAAAUGUUAACUAAAUAUAUUCAAUUAUGUAUAGAAAAUUUGGAAUAAAUAAAUGGUUAUGUUACUAACCAUUUUCAGUGAAUUUUAUUUUUCAAAUAAAUGAAUCAAAUCCAACCUAAUUUAUUUUAAAUCCCAUUUAUAAGUACAACAUUUAAUAAUACAUAUUUUAUAAAGCAAAAGGUAAUUUUUGUAAUGGUGCCGUUUCUUCUGUCUACUUUGCUUCGUCUAAUGGUUUCUCUUCAUCAUGAUUUGUGUUUUCAGAAAAAAGUUUUUAUUUUACCCAAAAAAAAAUAAAAUUCUAAUGCUUUUCUCGCAUUUGAUUUAUUUGUGCAAUCAUAUUAAUUGGUAAAAGUGAAAGGAAAUUUUUAAAAGGAGAUGGUGAAGACACGUUUUUUGUUGACAUUUGUUUUGCAGUUAUGUUAUUGUUUUGUGUGGCCCACAAAAUGAUUGUUUGGAUUUGAGCAAAACUCACAUAACGUGGGGCCCAUUUGGGCCCAUUAGGUUGGCCCAUCAUUUCACUAGCGCCAAAUGGAAGAAAGAAAUCACCUGUGGUUGAGACUAUUCUUAUUCUCAAAGUUAUGGAUAAGCCUCAAAAAGUUUCAAGCAACCUCAUUCUAUUUGUUUUACCUAUAAGGACAUAAUAUUUAAAUUAUAAUAUAAAAUUAUGGAGAUUGUAUACGUUAUUCAAUCAUAAAUUAUUAUAUAUCAUAUAUUUUAGUUAUUAAUUAUAUUAACAAUGUUUUUUUUAUUGAUUAACAGUUGUAUAACACAUGCACGAACAUUGAUACCAUACAUACACGGAUAUGAAGAUACAUAUAAUCUCUAAAAUGUAGUAUACAGAGAUAGAGAUACGAAUUUAUAUAUUGCAUAAUUAUAAAUUAUAUAAAUUGAUAAUAAAUAUUUAUAUUCAUAAGUAUGUUUCAAAAAAAUUUUGUAAUAGGAAAAUGUUUCUCAUGACUGGUUCAAUUUUUUUUUUUUUCUUGUUUCUUUAAUUACAAUAAAAACAUAUACAAUAAGUUUGAAUCUUUAGAAAAUUAAUGUAUUUUUUCUUUUUUAAAUUUUAUUCGAAUCGUACUAGAAUUGUAAGAAAUCCAACAAAUAUUUUUUUAAUUUAACAUUUCACCGAUACUCGUACGCGUCUUACAAAUAUUGUACAAAUGUCGAUAUCCAAUACGUGUGUCUAAUACAGAUACAUCAUUCGAGAGAAGUAUAUGAGCUUUAUAGGUUACCAAUAUAAACUUAUUUAUAUAAAUUAAGCUAAAAAUUAUGUAAUUGUGUUCGUUCUUGUUACAUGGGCCGGCUCCGUUUCUACAUUGGGCCGAACCGGCCGGUUGACGUGGAUAUGGGACCCACUUUCUUCUGGAAUAAAAAAAAAAGCCGUUCUUCACCGGUUCAUGGCCAUUUCAUUUCAUCCACGCAAUUUUUUAUAUUUGUAAAUUACAUUUAGUAAUAAGAAUGAUUAAUCAGUAUUUAUUUUAUUUCUUAUGUAAUACUGGAUUUAAAAAAAAAUAUCAAAAAGUAAAAUAAACUUCUAUAUAAAUUAAAAUCAACCUAUUCAUAGGUUAGAAAAUAAAUUUUAAGAAUUUAGAUUAAAUAAUUUUAAUUUGUAAAAACAAAUUAACUUUUUUCUCUCCAAGAAUACUUAUGAAAAAUUUCAGUAUUAAUUAGUAACUUGAAUUAAAAUAAAUAAACAUUAGUGAGAUAUUGGUUUUAACUCUGAAUAUAUUAAUAGGAGGAAAGAAGAAAAAAUGUUAUGGAAAAAGGAAGAGAAAAAACAAAUAAAAGAAACAAGUAAAGAGUGAUGAUACCAACCUACUUCCUUUGGCACAAAGAUAACGACCAUUCACCUUCACGUGUUAUGUCAUUAUUAUUAUUAUUUUAUUUAAGAAAAUCUCGCUAUCAAAACUCAUCAAAAAGCUACGAGAAAAAAUAAAUAAAACAAAUUAUAAUAAGUUAAGAUAUUUUAUGUUUUGAAAAAACAAUGACAAAAUUAUGUAUUACCAUGUGAAAUCAAUUAUAUGAUUCAUAAAUUUUUUUUUUCUAUUCACUUUAAUGUUUCUUUAACCAUUUUUGUAUAUUUAGAUUCACGUGAAUUAUAAAAGUUAGAAAAUUAAGAUAAGUAGCCUAUUUAUAAAAAAGAAGAAGAAAAUGGAUCCUUUAAAAAUAAGAUCUUACUCGUGCUUUUAAAUAUUCUCUAUAAUUAAAGAAUAGGAACUUAGCUUACUAGUGUGUACACCUUGAAUUUUAGUAUAUUUAUUAUCCAAUUCAAUGAUUUUUUUAUUGGGUUAACUUUAUAAAUUUUUUAUUAGAUAUAAUCUAACCUGGUAUAGUCUUAAAUGAAUUAGGUUAAAUUUAUUAUUUUUUUAAUAUAAGUUAACUUAGUUUACUCUUAUAUAUCAUACAAACAUAGUUUUUUUUUUACCGAUCGGUAUCAGACCAGCUAGUCACUUUAUUUCGAUAUCGACUAACUGUAUCAAAAUACAUUUAAGACACUUAAUAAAUAACAGUGAUGACAAUUGUGAAAACUCACUGUGAAAUAAUAUCAUAUCCCAUCGAAUCUAGGUAACACUUCCAAUAAAUAAGCUAACAUAGAUUUAUUAAAAAUAUCCUCUAAAUAUAAAUCUCUAUAAAUCAGAAAAUGUUCAUAGAAAUCAGUCGACACUCAUAUUUGAUAAAUUUGACCCAUCAUCACAACAAGAGUAUAUGACCCAACAUUAUAAAUAAACCCUUUACAAAUAGUAAGGAAGAUACGUUUUAAUUAGUCCUCACUAUAUACUUUUAACCUAAAAUAUUAAUUUGAUCGUCCAAAUACCUUUUUCAUAUUAAACUUUAAUCGAACACCAAUAAGAGACUUGAAGUAGAAAUGAGAACCAACACAUUAGCAAUACAAGUACGAAUUUCUAAAACAAUAAAUAGCUGCUUAAAGUAUUGUGAAAACAGUAGUAUGGUAUUCCUUUUUGGCAUUUGUUCAUUGUGUUUGAAUGAUGAUGAAUCUGAAAGGUGCUUUAAUUACUGUAUACGACAUAGUUUUCACUGGAGAAAUAAAUAAAUAAAUAUAAUUGUAAAACAUGCUACACUUUUCAUAUCCACACAAAUAUGUGCUGCAAUAAUGCCAUUACUAUUACUAUUACAGAAAUAGUGAAAUUCCUCUUUCAUUCGUGAGUGAAAUGCCACGUGUAGAAAAUACCUUCACCAACAAAAUAAAACAGAGUGAAAUACAACAUUUUGAUAUUCAUUUACACAAAAAUAACAAUAUUUGGUGGUAUGAAAUGGUUUACAACACUUUUACUUCCUGCACCCCAUAGUUACUAAUUGCACCCAGAGAAAGAGAUUAAAAUAUUAUCUCAUGUAUUUCGUGGCAGCCACCGCUCUCCAUUCUUCAUCCUUCACGGGAAGAAUAAGAUUCUGAAAAGUUCAUUUUGAAAUUAUCAUAUACGUUUUAGAAAAAAAAAAUCUGUUUUUUGAGAAUUUGUUCUGAAAAAGUUAUUUUAGAAGACAUUAUUUCAUGUAUUUUGAAAAAUAUAUUUUGAAAAAGUCUUUCUAAAAAGCUUGUUUCAGAAUUUAACAUGUAAAAUAGGGGCAAUUUUAUCUUUUCGUAGGGGUGCAAUUUGAAUUUAUGAGGGUGCAGAAUGCAGAGGCCCAAAAUGAAAACAUACGUAUAUUGCCAGUGUGGCUCCCCCAGGCCGAAAGAAUAAUUAUCAAGUGGGGGUAAUUUCUUCUUGCACCUCAAUGUUUUCUUCACGCACCACCUUAGAAUAAUACCAUAAUUUUCAUUUUUAUAAUUGACAUUAAUAGUGCAAUUUUACUUUAAUAAUUAGACAAUGUUAAACUAUUUAAUAAUUUAUCACUUGAAUAAUAUUAUUUUAAUUAUUGAAAACGAAAAUAAUUGAAAUAAGAUAUAUAUUAUGUUGAAAAAAUAGUGAAUUAUCGGCAAUGUCGUUGUCCUCCUAAAACAUCUAUGAUUUCGUCUUUGUCCGAAAUUGAAUUUAAAUCUUAAAAUUUCAGAAUGCUUAUUUUAUCAUCAAAUAAGUUAUAAAAUAUUGUUAGAAGAUAGUCUGCGAUUAGUUAUAGAAUUGAUAAAUAUUUGAUAAAAAAAUAUUUACUUUAUUACAUAUUUAUUAAAAUAAAAAUGAAUAAAAUAAGAUAAUUUGUAUAUUUCGAGCAUUCCCAGAACAAUCGAUAUAUAUUAGAGUAUAGUGAAUGAGUGUAAAUACUAAUAUUGAGAAAAGUGCCACUCCAUAUAUUAUAUAAAUUCUUCGAUCUUCUUAUUUAAGACAUUUUAUUUUUUAGAAAUAAUUUAUAAAACAAUAAGAAUUAUCCUUUAAUUGAUUAUGGUAUGGUAUUAUAUUGUUGUCACUAAAUUAUUUAAAGAUAAGCAAGUUUAUUAGGUCUUAUAUAUUUGUUUGUUAGUUUAUGUUAGAAAUAACUAUAAGAUAAAAUCUAAAUAUAUCAAAAUACUGUAAGUAUAUUUAUAUUUCAUGAACACAUAAUUAAAAUUAUAAUUUUGUUUACCUCUUUUAAUAAUCUUAUUUGAUUUGAUUUUGAUAAAUUAAGAUUCAAUACAAGUUCAAUAUGAACAAUUCAAAUAUAUAAUAAACGUAUUUGAAAUCAUUGUGAAAAUUGAAUUAUUUUGUUUAAAAGUGAUUUUAAAAUAGUUACUUUUAUUUGGAGUGAAAGAAUUAAAAUAUUUAUUUUUCUUCGUUUACACUGAUAAAGUAAUUGUUAUUAUUCAUAUUAUUAUUAUUAUUAUUAUUAUUAUUAUAUCUGAACAAAAUUGGUGAGAGUCCGAACUCAUCUUAGGUUGGUUUUGUUUGCACACGAGGCCGAGUUUGAAACAUAUCUUACGUGUCGAGAUUUUAUUGGAUGAGUGACCAGAACUCUCCAAACACAUAUAGACACGUGGAAAAAGCGGAAGGUUGUAGAACGACGCCGUUUCUAGUUUCAGCAAGCACUGAGUUCAUAUUAAAAAUCAGCGACUGUGUCGUGUUUCAUAUUUUUCUUCGUCAAAUUUCCGAGAAGAGACAGUGACAAAGGUAUUUGCGUGUGUUAUGAUGUUAUGAUUCUGUGGAUCCGUGAUUUUGAGAUGAGUAUCUGAAUUAACCGAUUAUUUGGCAGAUGAGAUUAUCAUCGUUGCGGCUUGCUUUGGUGUUGGUGUUAAUUGGGGCAUUGGGGAAGUUACAGAGGUCAGAGGGUAUUCGAUUUGUGAUAGACAGAGAUGAGUGUUUCUCCCAUGAUGUCAAGUACGAGGGUGACACUGUUCAUGUCUCUUUCGUUGUAAUUAAGGCUGAUUCUCCCUGGCAUUACGGCGACGAAGGUGUCGAUCUCGUGGUAUGUUUUUUUUUUGUUCUUUUUCCCUCUCUUUCGAUCUCCUUUUAUAUUGUUUUGUUUUACCUUAAUUUUGUGUUUCGUAACUCUUAAUUAGAAUCGCAAUUACUCGGCGUUUCUAUGGGGUGUUCAUAUUCGCUAUUUGCUAUUUAUAAUUGAUGGGAUUUUGUUUCGAAGUUCUGUUCAGGGAAGGGAAUAGAACCGUAGGCACUUGAAUGCAAAGUUUAAACCAAAAAAAUUGGUUUAGGGUUUUAUAUUUGAACAGCCAUCAAGUUCAUCCUUGAAAUAUUACUCUCUCUACUACAUGAUUCGUAAUACAGAAAAAUGAAUUCUAUCUAGGUAAUUUCCCAAGUGUUAGAAAUCAUGCUUGGUAGUUUUCUCAAAUAUUAAAAAGUCCUUCAAAUUGGUCUCGGAACAUCACAGAAAUAAAUAAAGUCCGAGAUUAUUUUGAUUGAUGUUUAGUAGAGGGAUUUCUGUGCUUCACCACAACCAUGAAACUUCAUUUGUUUCUAGAUCUUGGUAUCUGUUGUUAAACGUACACCCCAUUCUGAACACUUUUACUCACUGCCCAUGCUGAAGUGUUUGGAGGGUGUUAUGGCAAGAAUGUUCUCAUGGUAAAACACCUAAUGAAGCAACAAGUUUUAUCGACUGUUAGGAGAUGAUUCACUGAGCAAAAACAGUUAUUUUUUUUAAAAAUUUAGUAAGAACGAGUACUUGUAGUUACAGAGAUGUUGUGAAUUGUAUGUAGCUGUUUAUAUGUAUCACCUUUUACAUUUACAAUUAUAUAUCAAUACCGUUCUUUUGAGGGUAAACGCCAGUGAUUUUCAACACCAGUUAGUCAUGAGCAUUUCAUAUAAGAAAGCUACAACCAAAAACCUUAAGACAAUGAGUAUGUGAGACUGGAGAUUCGGCACGAUUGAGCCAUAAACAUUCUAUAUAAGAAACUUUCAAUCCAAAACCUUAAGACAAUGGGUAUGUGAGUCUUCUUUCUUAUAUACUGCAAUUCAAGCUCAUUCCUAUUCAAUAUAGGACCCAACACACUUAAAAUUCUAACAAUAAAUGGCCCACAUUAAACAUCUAUAUUUGUAUUUUUGUGCUACAAUCUUUGAAUAUAUCUCCAGCAGCUGUACAAAUCCACAUUCUGCAUACACAAUUGAUAGGAAUAACCUUUCUUUGAAAUUAUCCUUUUCCUUCGUACCCAACACAAUCAUACGUUGUAAUCUCAUUGCACCACAAUUUAUGAAUUUUAGGUAAAGGGACCUUCUGGUGAGCAAAUUCAUGAUUUCCGGGACAAGACCAGUGACAAAUUUGACUUUGUGGCUCACAAAUCAGGGGUCCAUAAGUUCUGCUUCACCAACAAGUCUCCUUAUCACGAAACUGUCGAUUUUGAUGUACAUGUCGGUCACUUCUCUUACUUUGAGCAACAUGCAAAAGAUGGUAAUGCCUCUUCUAUGAAGUCCACUUAUAUUUGCUCUUCUCUAUUUUUUAGUGUAAAACAUUGAUGUUUAAGCUGCAUGGAAAGUCUAUACAAUGAGAGAAUUUUUAUUGAAACUUUUGUGACUGUCUUUGCAGAGCAUUUUACCCCUUUGCUGGAGCAGAUAGGGAAGUUGGAGGAAGCUCUAUACAACAUUCAGUUUGAACAGCACUGGUUAGAGGCUCAGACUGAUCGCCAAGCAAUAGGUAAUUAUUUUAGGUUUAAUUUUAUGUUUAUCUUACUAUUCACAGUUUCUCUGAAUACAAUUUUUAUGUUCAUCAGUUAAAGAUAUGCUUGUGUUAAAAGAUAAAAACCUUGUUUUUGUAUGCAAUCUUGUAUAAAAAUAUUGUUUUUAUGUAUGCAGUGAACGAUGCAAUGAGCAGAAGAGCAAUACACAAGGCAAUUUUUGAAUCAGCUGCACUGAUUGGGGCUAGUGCGCUCCAAGUGUACCUUCUACAGCGAUUGUUUGAAAGAAAAUUGGGUACCUCAAGAGUUUAGAGCUUCCAAAUGUUUGAGAACCUGUAACAGUACAGACGAGAAUGAUAUUUCAACCUUUUUCUUCUUCUGUUUUCAUCACAUGGAUAUUUAUAUAACUAGUUGUUCACCUCUGCUCAUAAUACAUGUGGAAAGAUGUUGUUUAAUGUUAAUUAUAGUUCAUUUCAGUUGGCAUACUUUUCACUUUAUUUACCCUGCUUAAGCUGCUACGGCGUUAGAGAAUUUGUUAUGUACUUUGUGGCAGGUUUGCAGUGCUAACCUCACAUCAUACGUUAAUUUUCUAUAAACUCAAACGUAUUGUAUAAAUUACAAAAAUAAAGAACAAAUCUUUUGGAACCAUUCAAAAAAAUUUAACAUACUUAUGUACCUAAAUGUUUUCGUGUCUUAUAUUUUAGAAAUUAUAGGUAUUUUCGUGUUCGUGUUGUAUCAGUGUCAUACCAACUUCAAUAACACGGCAGAAACUUUCACUAUUGUAUAAAUUGAUAAAGUAUGUGUCAAGGGGCAUUAUUUCUCAUUUUGGAUCAAAUUACCAUGUACAUUUAAUUUUAACUGAGGAUAGGUAUAUCUUUCUUAAUGUAAACACACUUUCAGUAUAAAUCCCCUUGGAUGUACGUAUUUUUCAAUAGAACGUAGGAAAAUUGGUUGUUGACCAUGAUCUGCAUAAGGGUACAAUCGAUUUUCAGAUUUCAGAAAAGGAUUAUUCAUUUUGCUCAUCUCUACUUUUGUGUGAAUGAAACUGUCUAAAACACAAAUGAAGUUCUUGAAUUGUUGUGUUAUUAUGAUUUGUUUUCCAUUUGACAACGAUGCAAGCGAAGUCCACUAAUCAGAACAGUUACAUCAAAUAUCAAGUUCCUGUUUAUAAACAAUGGAGGGAAACUUGAAUUAAAUGAAAAAUUGUGGAGUGAAUGAGGUGUGAAACCAACUAGUUUUGAACAUUAAGAAACCCCAGAAAUUGCAUGUAUCAUGCUAUAUUUGUUUCCUAAUCAAGCCCAAAUCUACACUACGUAUAUAUAUAUCUAAGAUUUCAGCAGGACCCAUCAUAGCUUAAAUGAAGCUCAAGAUUUCCCUCAGGGCUCAGCAGAUACCUUUAUGCAGCAGAGCCAUCUUUUCUGCAAAAAAUAAUUUUAUUCAGAAGUUAGUACUCACAAAGAAACUGUUUUUAUUUAUCAGCAAAAACAAAUAAAAUAAAAUGAGACACUUCAGGAGUAUCUCAAUCCUUAUACAAAUAAUCCAACACAAAAUUUUCAUCACCUAAUCAGCUGAGUAUCCAACCAACAUAUUAGCUACAAUAACAUAUCAUAACAAGAUACAAGAGCACAUCAAUUUACAAUUGCAGAAAUAAAAACAACAACUGUAUGGAACAAAGGAUCAAAUGCAACUAUGUAUCUUUUUAUCGAGUAUCUUUUAUUGCAUUAAGAAGAGAAUAAUCCAAACAUAGAAUCACAACGCAUCAAAUUAAAUGUAACAACAUCGUCUCAUUAUCACCCUAGAUUGGUGUCAGUGUUACAUGGAUGUAUAGCUCUAUCAAAAUCCAAAAUUUUCAAAUAUAUUAUAUUAUGGUUUCAACGAGACCUUACUUGAACAGAUACCAGUUCCUCCUAAUCAAGCAUAAACAUAAACAAAAGACAUGAAAGUAGUUUUCUAUGAUUCAAGAGGGUGUCCCCAUUUGAGAAUAGGACGAUGACACAAACGGUUAAAUUUCUACCAAUGCAUGCAUACCAACCUAUGAGGCUUUCAUUCGCCUCUUAAAUGGUGUGUCCGUGUCGAAUACAUGUAUCGGAUACCGACACUUGUCAGACACGUACCGGUGAAGUGUCCAAUUUGAAUUUCUGACAAUUCUAGCACAAUUCUAACACAAUUUAAAAAAUGAGAAAUACAUUAAUUUUUUAAUAACUCAAACUUAUUUAUUAUGAUUAUAAAAAUAAGAAACAAAUAUUUUUGAACCCGUCAUAAAAAUAUAUUUCUACUAAAAGAAAAACUGAAACACACUUGUGCACAUAAAUUUUUAUUGUCAAUUUAUAUAAUUAAUAAUUAUAUAAUAUAUAGAUUUGUGUACCUAUGUCAUACAUUUUAGAGAUGAUACGUAUGUCAGUGUCUAUGCUAAGUAGAUACCAACUUGAAUCAUUAAUGCAUAAAAGUAAAGAAAAGAAAAAAACUUACAUAAUGGGACUUGCGAAGAGCGAGUUGAGGGUUGUAUUGUGGUGAAUUGCAAGCAGUAGGGGGUAAGUGGACCUUAGCACAUUGCUUCCUCUCGGUCCUGGCUUUGUUGAAGAUUACUGAGAAAUCAGCACCUGAUGAUGGAUCACUCACAUCCCAUUCCCCAAACUUAGGCAAUGUUCUACCCUUCUCCUGUUCAUAAUUAUGCAUUGCAAUUCAUGUUCAUAAUCAAAUUGAAAUUGAAAUUGAAAUUGAAAUGUAACAAAAAAGGAGAUGAAAUUGGGUUGCAUAGUUACCGCCAUGGUCGAUAGAUGAAGUUGGAGGAUGGAUGGGACCUUGAACUGAAUAUAUUUAUAUAUAUUUGAUGCAAUGUAGUGUUGUUGAUUCAACCUUCUUCUUUUCCUUGAUAUUGAGUUUCCAAGGAGAAAGAAGAAAGAAGAAAGAAUCAGAAAAACAGAGAAACAGAGCAACUGAAAGGAAACAGAGAGAUUGGGCCAAUGUCAAUCAAAUUUGUGAGGCCUACAUUUCCACCAUUUUCAGCCAACCACGCUCAACCAUCAAAAUCUUCCUCUUAAUAUAGAUUAUAUUUUUUAAAUUAUUUUUUAGUUAAUUCUAAAGAUUUAUGAUGAUAAUGUUCAUCAUUCUAGUUAGUUUUACAUUGUUAACAAGAAAGAAACCUCUUGUAUUUUUUUAAACCAUUUUUCACAAAAAAAUAAUAUUUAAAUUAAUUAGAACAGUAAUUUAAAAAAGUAUUUAAUGUUUUUUUGUGGGAUCUUAAAUUAAUAAUAACUUCAUAAAUGAUUCACAUUAAGCAUGGGAAUUUGAUCCAUAGAAAUUGGAUCCCAUGUGUUUUUUACAUAUACGAAUUAGGAAUCCAACUCUUAAUCAUAUAUAUUUACGAAAUUUUAAUUUUUUUUCUUCUGAUUACAUAAUAUGAAUCACCCAUCACAUUUAUGAUUCUUUUCUUUUACCUUUUUUUUUUCUUGUCAGGUGUUCAAUAGAUCUGCAGUGUUAACAAAGAAUGGAUCUGCUUGAAGAAUUGGCAACAUGGUAAAGGCACAUUGUAUAAUGCAAAACUAAUACCACAGGGCUCUGACUGAACUAGAAAAUUGAAUUUAGAUAAUGAAACAAAAGGAAAGUUGAUUGAUGUUUGAAGAUGGAAACAACAACAACACAGAGAGAAAAAGGAAAGCAAAGUAAAGAAGAUACAUAUGAGGUAUAUUUUUGCAAUAGAAGAGAGAAGCUGAAAUGGUAUGUUGUGUAGUAAACUUUAAAUUUAACUCAAUCUCAUAAAACUGGUUUAUGAAAGAGAUUUGCAGAUAUAACUGCAAAAGACGUGUAAAUAUAACUGCAAAAGACUCUGAUCUCUAAUCGAUGUGUGUGGAAUCUGAGUCAAACAUUAUGAGUGUUGUCUGGCUUGGAGUGGGAAUCAAGAUUGGCAGCAGAAGCAGAAGCACCUGGUGGUGGAGCUGGCAUGCCAUAAACUUGAGGGUUGGUCUGCAUGUCUCUUCUUCCUCUUGCUCUUCCAAAGAAGUAACAUCCAAAGCCAAGAAUGAAGCAGAAGAUUAUGAAAGGGAGAGAGAUCACCACCACCAUGCCCAUCUUUGAUAUUCUUCUUCUUCUUGUUUUCUGAAUUGAGAGGGUGAGAGUAAAAAAUGAAGUGUUGUUGAGUUGAGUGGAGAAGGAAUAAGAGGGAGCAUUUAUUCAUACAAGUGGCUCUGGUAUUGGAUUCUCUUCUGUUCUGUCAUGAACCCCUUAACGUUCAAUUUUCCAACGGAUACCUUUCUGUCCCUACAACACUACCCCUCUCUCUCUUCCACUUCACUUUUGUCUUUACUAUAAAAAUAAAUAUAGUUUAACAACUCUUAAUAUAAUAUAUAGAUUCUAAUAUAAAUUAGCUCUCACUCCAAAGGUUUAUUAUUUAGAGACACACUUUCUUUAUUAUUUUAUUCAACCAAACAAUUAGAUGUAUAACUUAACUUUUUUUAUUAUAUUUUUCGCAUUUAAUUCAAAGCACCUGAAAAUGUAUUUGUACUUAUUUUCUCUUCUCUUCUCUCCCUGUUUUUUGAACAUUUUUUUCUUUCUUGUUUCUUAUAUCUAACGUAACACUGAUAAAUGAGCAUUUUAUGAUAGAAUAAUGCGUACUCAAUCAAUAUAAGGUGUCUAAAUAACUUAAAAUUUAUAUAACUUAAAUUUAAAAUUUAAUCCUCUUCAAUUGUAUCAGAUAAAUCGGCAAGUAACUUGUCAUUCCAUUUUUUACAAUUUAAUUUACACAUAUUUUCAGACUAAUCAUACAUUAGUUGUUAAUUAUAUUUGAAUUUUAAUUUAAACAAUUUAUAAAAUAAUAAAUUAAGAACUAUAUUUUUUAGUUGACUGUAUAGUUUUAAGUUUGUUAUAUAAUGUAUAUUUUUUAAAUUAUAAAAAAAUAUGACAAUGAACUUAUAUUCGAAGAAAUUAGAUUUAUUCGAAAAAAUUGUUUAAAAAUGAAAACGAAAAACUGCAAAUGUCGCAUGGGGAGAAAGAUCAAUGCUGUUGCAAGAUGAUAAGUUGAAACAAAUGUAAUAGAAAAACACUGAUAAAUUAAGGGUAGAACCAAAAAGACAUAAAUUAGAAACAAAAAAUGAACUAUAAAUUAUUUUUAUUGUUCACCAAUGGCUAUCUCAACUCAAAAGCUAAUCAAUCUUUCUCUUAACAAAGCAGAUUGACCUAAAAAUAGUCAUGGACAAAAAAAACUUGCAAAAGUAUUAAAUUUAUGUUUUGCAAUUGAUGCCUACAUGUAGCUCACUCGCAAAAGAAAACACCAUAGACUUGGAUUACAUCGGAGGCUUCCCAGAACCAAGCAGCUGACCAACUAGAUUAUUCACCUGCUUAGACAAAACAGACAAUCACUAUUUGCAGUUUCCUAUUACAUCUAAAGCAAAAACCAUUUUGAAGCCAGAAAUUCCAUCACCCACAAACACUUUAUUUGCCUUACCCCACUAAGAUUUCAUCAUAAAACAUCCUAUGAGAAAAAUAUCUUAUAGCAUAAUAUUAAGUUUGACGAGAAAAAAAGAAACAGGUCACAGACAACUCAAAAAAGUGUCAGUGAUAAGCAAAAUCUUACAUGCCAGUAUUUUGAAACACAUCGGUCAAUGCAACUAUUUUCACCCAUAUUUAGCUCAGACUCCUUGUACCUGAGAAGAAAAGGUGUUAAAACAAAUAUUAUAAUAACAUUCACAUUGAGCCAUCAUCAAAAGAAUGCAACAGCGGAUAACUGAGAAAUCAGAGAGUAAUUUCCAAAUUGUCAGGACUGGACUGGAUGGCAUUUGAAGAGCAUCAAACAUGACAGUUUCUCAAGCAGUUAAUAAAAUUAGACAAGAGUUUCCCCACCUAUUGUCAACACACUUUUUGAAACAGGUCUGGGUCAUCCUGAAUAGUAAAAAUACCAAAGCGUUAGCCAAAUGAAAUAAAUCUUCUCAAACAAAAAGCAGCUAGACUCUACGUUAUACUUGCUGAUAACAGCAAAACUAUCAAGGCGAGCAAGAACAGGGAAACCUACUUGUUGAAUAAUUCGACCCUAUACUCCAUCUCCUUUUCAGCCAUUCCAAAUAUCUGUUUCAUUAUCACACGAAUCAUUGAAACACAUCAAAAAACAAGAAAAACUAAAUAAUCAAAUAAUUCCAAAAAAACACAAAGUUAAAGUUGAAAUCAUUUUCAAAUUAUCAGGUAACAACAUCAAUAACCAGAUUAGUUUUUCCAAAAUUGGAGGAAUAGAAAGGAAUACCUACCUGUUCUUUUUCAAAGGCAGAAGGUGAGAUAUUGGCAGCCAUUGUAGCCUGAAAUAAGAUAACCGACUAUUAGAAUUGGAUUGGUGUUGAUGUAGAUUUCGUUAUUUCUAAUUGCAACCAUUUACAACCAAACAAAAUGUCCUCUAUUUAUUUCUAACCAAAUUUAUGCAUGAUGCAUCAUGUUCACCCAGAAUAGUCUUAUUAUAUUUCAUACAAGUCAUGUUAAGAAGCACACAGGCGAUCCUUGUACACUAAGAUUUGAAUAAUUCGAGAACCAAAAGUAUAUGAACUGGAUCAACAGAUGCUGAGAGAAACUCAUGUCUAAAUUUUGGGGUAAAAGUUUGCAGAAUAAACCAAAUAAAAGAACACUGAACUACAUAACAUGUAGAAUUCCUUAAAACCCUAACUACAAAUCCCUUGGAACAACAUGAUUGAGAAACAAACAAAUCAUGGUCAUAAUGUUCAGCUAGAUUCGUUCAUCACUUCAUCAAAUGAUUUUUCUCUGUAAGUCCGUAUACCCCAUGCUUCUACUACCUACGAAGUCCAAAAAUUUCCCAGGUUUCUAAUCAAUUUAAUCCUUCUUGUGGUUCACAUCAAUUAUAAUGACCAGUCUCAAGUAUAAGCAUAAAUCUGCAACCAGCCAAAUCUCUCUCCCCUCCUCCCUACGAUUCACAGAACAAAAAAUGACAUCUCUAGAUAAAAAGCGGAAUUCUCUGAACAAUGGGUUAUUUCAAUCUUACACGGUGUAGCCUAUAUGCGAAAUUUAGUCCAACAGAAACAAUGUGAAUGAAAUAAAUAGGUUUUCAAAAAGAUCAAUGACCAAAGCUCGUGUGAGCAACCCAAUUUAGUGGCUAAAAUCCCCAACUAACUUCAAAUUAACUUGGGGAAAUCAUACAACUCCAUUAUCAUAGACACUAUUUCAAAACUAUAAUCAUUAAAAUCGUAACAAGUUAAGCACAUGCAGAGGUGAUUAAGUGACACAAAAUUCAGAAAAAUAGCAGUGUGUAAGGGAGAUUCUUAUUGGACUAAAUGUAGAAAACAAUAAAACUCACAACACAACAAAACGAUUCGGGCUUGAAUCCCAAAUCCCGUAGGUUUGUAAGAAAUUUGAGUUGAGAAAGAAGGAAAAGAGAGAGAGAGAAACGUACUAGUUGAUGAAGAAACGCGGCUAGGGUAGGGUUCGAUCUUUCUAAAGGAGAAGGGGUACAGCAUAUCACAUUUUAAACUAAAUUACCCAAAUAACAAUCAUACCUUAAUUUUUAAAUUCAGAAAUAGGAAUUAUAUAUUUACAAUUCACAUUUUUAUAUUAUAAUUCAUAAUAUUAUUAUUUUAAUAUUUUUUAUGUCAUUUAAUUAUAAAUUUAUUAUAUAUAUUUAUUUUUAAAUCAUCCUAUCAAAAGUUAUAUAUAACUCUAAAAAUUAUUAAAUUAAUAAUUUUCCUUCAGAAAUAAUACUUUUACACCAUAAACAAAUUAAGCUUUCAAACUUUAAAUUUUUUUACAAAUUAUAUUUUUUAUUUUCUAUUUACAAUUUCUCAUCCAAAUAAUAUCCAUGAUUUAUAUGUGGAGGGUAUGAGAAGUUUUGGUAUCUUGCCUCUAUUCAAUAUAUAAAAAAGAAAUAUGAGAAAUGAUCUCAUCAACCAAACUCUUUAAUCAUAGAAAACAAAAUAAGACAAGUCUAAACAUUAUGCAAUUCUAUUUUGACAUUAUAAAAAUAGUAAAUUUACUUGUAAAAAAAUAUGUGUCGACCUCGAUGGAAGAAGUCAUUAAAAUCUCUCUAAGUAAAACUUGUUAAGUUUACACGACCUAGAUGUCCUAAGCAUGAGAGAACAUACUCUGAAAUAAUGUAGUGAUUAAUUACUAUAGUUGCGUUCAUCUUGGCAAUUUAAAGUAUGUGAAACUAAUUUAAGAUUAAUUAUGAUAUUUUGUUAAUUUAGGCCCACUAACAUAAGAAUCCAAUGUAUAUUUAUAAAUAGGUUGAUCAAUGUCAAAUCAAAAUACACAUUAACAUUCAUUAACAUUUAUUAUCUCUAUUAUCGAAUACUAACUUGAGUAUCGAAAAAUUGAGAUAGAAGAUUAUUAGAAGCCAAAAAGGACCCAAGAAUACGUGCAACUAUGAAGAUAUAACAUUUCUGGCCUACACAAUAACAAUUUCGUACAACUAUUUAUUAUAAUUUUUAAUGUAUUAUUUUAUAUGCAUACAUAUAUGAUUGGAUAAACAUAUUUUAUUAUUUUUGUUUAUGAUUGGAUAUGUGGUGAUGAAUAAAAGAACACGUAUUUUUAUGUGAAAAAACGGAGGUGAUCCCAUGCUAUUUCACUAUCAACCAUGAUCAUUGGAUUGGAUAGGAGGAGUGAAAUAAACAAGUAAGGGGAAAAUAUAAUAAAGAGAUAUUUCAUCAUAUUUCAUUCCACUUUAAGAAUAAUAUUUUUUGGUGGAUCCCAUGAAAAAUAUUCCGUCUUUACUAUUUUUUUUUAUCAAAUACACUUAUAAAUAUAAUAUUUCUAUUAUACUUCUCUUUGAUCUCAGUUAUAGAAAAUCAAGUUAUGUUUAUUGCUCGAUUAACUACUCAUUUUCUAAAAAGGAUUUACAUUUCACCGAACUAAGUUGAAAAUACAUUAUUAGCAUGAGUUUGGAGUCAUUUGUGCCAUUAAAUUAUAUUUAAAAAUCAAAUUAAAUUCUAAGACAUUUGUGAUUUUAAUUGUUCUUAUAAUUUUAAUUAUAUAAAGAUCAAAAUGAUUAAUUUAUAUUUUAAUAAUUAUAAAAUGAAAAUAGGAAAAUAACUAUAUAAUUUUAUACUAUAAUCUAACAAGAAUAAACAUAGUUCAUUAAUUUAUGUUUUUUUUUUACAUUCUUCCUUCUUAGAUAAAAAAUAAUAGAUCAGUUAUUGUAGUUUUUAGAAGUAAGGUUUUGCAGUUUCUGCGUCUUUUGUGCUUCUUCAAUUAAGUUUGAUGGUGUUGUUUCCCAGUGUCUUCAAGAUACAACUUAAAAGAAAAUUUGUACUGAAAAUCAUGAGUGCAAUAAAAACCAUAUAAAACGCUGAUUGAUUAGUAUAUAUAUAUUUAAAAAAUCAUAGUCUGAAUACUGAUUUGGAUCAGCUUUAUCCAACAAUAACCACAUUGAUAAUAAAGUGGCAAACACAAGAGCAAGCACAACAAGAAUUUGUGUAAUGUUGUGGUUGGAAUAAGAGGGUUGAAAUGAUUCACUAAGUCAAAACCAUAAAUCAAAGUACGCCAGUAACAUAUAACAGAAAGCCUUUUUUUUAUUGCUUAAUGGUCAACUUGGAUACUAAGAAAACUUCAGUUUCACAGUAUCUAAGAUUAAAACCUAACAAAUAUGUGGCUAAAUUUGUGUCCACCCUUCAAGUCUGGUCCUUGUAAUACAUUUGAAAUAUGCAUGUAGGGUGCUAAAGGAAGGCUGACUCUGAAACAACAUUUAGGGAACAUGAAAAAUUACAGAAGCUCAACAACAAGGGCAGAUGCACCACCUCCUCCAUUGCAAAUGCCACCCACUCCAUACUUCCCAUUCUUCUGCUUCAGUACCUGCAGGUCAUAACUUUUAGAUUAACUGAAUCCAAAAGGAACAUUCAAUAUUAUGGAAAGGCCAUACAUAGAUGCUCAGAAUUAUAAGUUAGAUAGGACACCAUCACUUAAAAAAAAUCUAAGAUGAUCAAGAUCUGUUCAUUUCAGUCUCGUAAUAUGCUACUCUCACUAGAUUGCCAAUGUAAUUUAUUCAAAAAAUAGAAUAAAAAAGGACAAAUGAUCACGUUGCUAUUAUUUUCUAAAUUAUUAACUUUUUUGAAUAAUUGAGCAUAUCGAUUUAAAUAAUUAAACAAAGAAUUUAAGAGGAGCGCUAAGAUAGAAUUUUUUCUUCAAACGCAUAGCAAACACGCUAUUAUAAAUUGUAAAAUAAUAAGUUUUGAACAGAACAUGUACCCCCAAGAGUGUGACCAGAAUGCGAGCACCACUGCAACCAAGAGGAUGGCCCAGUGCAACGGCUCCACCAUGUACAUUUACUUUUUCCUGCAAAAUAAUAGUUACUUGAGUAAAAGGAAUAAAUGGAAGGGAACAGCCAUUAAUGAGCGGUGACGUUAAAUAAUAGAUUUUAGAAAAAACAUCCAACAUGUUCUGUACAAAGAUGGGUUUGGAACCUACGACUGCAUGCACUCUUUAAGAUAAUUAAGGAUACGGCCAUUAAUGGCCACGGUGAUGUUAAAUGAUGGAUUAUAGACAAAUUGUAACAUGCUCUGCACUCUACAAUAGCAUCCACUCUUCAAGACAGUGAAGUGGAAAUAGUUUAUUACACAUACACUAAAGGAUUACAACUUUCACUCGAUGACACGGAGAAGAACUUACCGAAUUUAGUCCAAGAAGUUUUUGGUUUGCAAGAGCCACAACCUACAGACAGUAAUAUGAACAGUUAAAAUCCAUGGCAUCAUGAAUUGAAAAAGUACUACAAUAAUUCCGCAUUAAAUCCUACCGCAAAGGCUUCAUUAAUUUCAUAAAAGUCAAUUUGGGAAGCCUCCAACCCUGCAUUGGAAAUGGCUUUGGGAAUGGCAAGGGAUGGAGCCGUUGUAAAUAACUCCGGUUCCUGCACAGCCAAACCUCAUAUAAGUAUGAAAUUAUACUAAUAAUAUAAUACCAAAUACUAGAAAUCAUGUGAAUACCAAUAUGAUUUUUUCUAUUUCUUAUUUCUUAUGGUCUGAAGAUGUAGUUCAUAUUUAAAAUAUUUUUAUGUACCUGAGCAGCAUCAGCAAAUCCAGUGAUUUUUGCUAGAACUUGAAGCCCAAGCUUCACUGCCAUCUCUCCACUCACCAAAACUAGUGCAGCAGCACCAUCACUGUUAGAAAGAGCAUUUUCAUUUGCAUUAAAAUAUUAAACUAAUGAUUGGUGUUAAUUAUCAUUUGAUUAAAUUAAUGAUAAAUGAACACUCAAAGAAACAUAUAAAAUAUUAAAUAUGUUAUAAAUACAACUCUAACUGAAUCACUUGUGGCUCAAACAUAAUAUAGGAAAAAAAACUUGUCUUCCUAUGACAUUCUUUGCUAUCUAUACUACCAGGAACACGUGGCAGAUUUACAAGCAUUUUUUUCCCCCAAACUACACCCUGAGCCAGCAUGCAUAUAAGAGAUUUAUAUAGUGGAAAAUCCAUUUUUUUUAUAAGAAUAAGAUAAGCUAAUUUGGACCAUACAACCAUAUAUGGAUGGUCAAUAUUAAAAGUUUUUUAAGUUCACAUAGCCAAUUAAAAAAGUCAUUUGACUGUUUAAAACUACUCACAAACUUUUAUCAUUCAUAAUAACAUCUAAUGGUGAGUACUUAUCCCUUUCAGUCACACAUAAAAAAGUCUCCUCUCCCACCAUACAUACACACACACACACACACACAUAUAUAUAUACAUACAUAUAUAUAUAAUAAAUUUAUUAUUUUAUAACAAUAAAUAACUGAAAAGAGGAUUCAACUAGAAAUCGUUAUGCAUGAAAAAAUUGAGCUAUUUUUGAUGAUAUAUUAACCUUAUGCUGGAAGCAUUGCCAGCAGUAACAGAACCUCCAGUCUCCUUGAAACUUGGACGAAGUUUGCGUAACUUGGCAGCAUCAAACUGGCAUAGGAAAAGGAAAAAUAUAACAAUAUAUUGACUUGCAUUCCACGGCGAGUAUAAAAAAAUUUAUUGACUAUAAACUUACUAAAUUUGCAGCUAGAAGUUGCAUAAAAUUGUUGUUUAUGAGAACAGAAAAAAAACUAUAAAUUCCAAUCCCAACUCCUGAUUAAUUGUUUCCCUUAAUAGACAUGGACAUAUUCACAAUAUUAUCCAAUAUCCACAUAACCCGUGCUUAGAUACCUAUAGCCUUCUAACAUAUUUGAUACUCAUGAAACUGGCAAAUAUUAAUGGGUAAACAAGUGCUUUUGUUGGCUAACCUAUUCAUACAAUUAUUACCGUGAUUCAACUGAUUUAUGUGGUUACCUUUCCUAUGCCUUCAUCCCUAUCAACAACUGUUGAAGGUUUUCCCCUUCCACCGGAGACUUCAACGGGAACAAUUUCCCAUUUAAAGGCACCACUUUCUUGGGCAGCAAUUCCACGUUCAAAACUCUGAAUCGCAUAGUUGUCCUGAGGGGAAAUACAGAGACAUCAAAAAAAUUUAUUACAAUAAUCCUGCGAAAAUCUUUCUAAAAAAGAUAAUCCUAAAUACCUGGUCUUCUCUUGUUAAUGAAUGGUUAUCUGCACAUAGCUCAGCACACACUCCCAUCCCAACAUCCUUAUAGACAUCCCACAACCCAUCUUUCAACAUCCCAUCAACAAGUGAAUCAUGUCCAAGGCGCGAUCCUUUCCUGAAGUUUUACUAUU